rnacentral:lncRNA from 1 species
GGAGAAGCCAUAUCGGGAACUGAUAAUGGGCUUGGGCUUGGGCCCAUAGGAGUAGUUGGUUGGGCCAUUGGGCUUGAAGAUGGAGUCAUUGGCAUCAUAGGUGGUGGAGUCAUGGGCAUUGGUGGUGGAGCCAUGGGCAUAGGUGGUGGAGUCAUAGGCAUAGGUGGUGGAGCCAUAGGCAUAGGUGGUGGAGUCAUCAUUGGCAUCGGAGAGCUGCGGCCGCUAGACAUCGGCGGCAUCGACAUUGAGCCAGAAGGAGCCAUCAUGGGAGAUUGAGCUAAAGAGAAAUGAAUUAAAACCAUAGGCAAUGUGACCAAAAGGAGGGCUUGUGAAGAGGCCAUGGUUAUGUGUGUUGAAUAGUGGGUGUUAUGUAAAGUGAUAUAUAGAGAGAGGUAUGUGAGUUGUAAAAGAAUGGGAGAGAAAAGUGAAGGUUCUUUGUGCUAUUGGGGAUAUAUAUUAGAGAUUAUUUGUUUUUAUUUUUGGACCGUUGGAUAUAGUGUGUGACACGUAUCAGUCGAUAGAUAGGUAUGAGAUGCUGAUUUAUUUUCCUCCACAUGUUGAAAAAAAAAAAGAGAUAGAAGAAAAUUCCAAAGUGAAAUUUCUUUGUAGGUACAGAUAGAAUAAUCAAUACACAUGAAAAUGGGACUAUUAUGAUUAUAAUGCAUUUUAUUUUCAUUCUUUAGUGGAACCAUCAAUCGGAUUCACGGGUUGGUUUUUAAGGGGGCCAUAUAUCAAAAUUAUUAGGAAUGUCAUUUAAUGGUGUUUGUUAGUCAUUAAUAUGCUAAAACGAUGAAAUUUUGAAAUGUUAGUAGACUUUUAUAACCAAGUCAAGAUAUAAUUUCAUCAGAAAAAAACAAUUUAUAUGGAAAAGGAUAAAAGACCAUAAUGCUAUGGUACAAGAGAAAAGACAAAUAGGGACCAUUUGUGUUGCAUUUGGUCACACAGGCCUAAUAAGCUCCACGGCCAAUAUUAUGUCCGCACCCACUAACCGACAUUUUUGGUUACCCCAUACUCUUUUCUUUUUUCCUCUCACGAGUACUCUUUGUCCCUCAUUUACUAUUUAUCCAUCUUUUAAAUUAUACUUUUUAAAACAAACAUGUAACAUGUUCUAUACAUAUAUAUAUAUACUUUGAUUUCGUUGUUUUAUUGUACAUUUCUUCAGCUCGUUUGAAUUUAACCGUUAUGAUCGUCCCUUGAUCAAAUGUAUUCUCUCAACUCAUUAGUUCAGGAUCCAGGAAAAUUAGAUGAAAUAGACAAAUAGUACAUGCAUCACUUGAAGUAACUAUAAUUACUAUACCGUUAAAGUAGUUGUAUAGAGAUUUCAAUAUUAUAACGUUAGGGCUCUAAAUAUAUGGGCUCAUUAUAAAUGGGCAUGUAGUCGCAUGAGGCCGAAUCCCAGCUGGCAGAGAAAUGAGCGGGAAAUUUUAUGUACAAAAUGCUCGAAACAAUGUCACACGUAGCGCACGUGCCAUUCUCCCGCCCGUUUCUCCAUUUUCCCCAAAUCUCAAAUUCUCAAUCCCUAGUUUCUCUCUCUCCCCAGAUUCACAGCAUUUGCAUUUUGCAAUGUCUGAAGACUCGGAACCGCGUCAACUCGGGAGAUCGACCGCCGGCGGAGAGCUAAUAGGUCUUGGUCUCACUGAGUCAGACGGCGAGGAGCAUUUCUAUCACCAGAAAGCUUUGGAGUUAUGUCGUCACCUACUCUUCGUUGGCCACUCAGAACUAGUUACAGAUCUUUCUUCACAAUGUACACACUUCCAAGCUUCGCCUGAGCUCGUCAAAGUUCUUUGCUCGAUUCCUAAUUCCCCUGUCUCCCUUACCGGAGACGGCUUAUCCGUGACUCUCUCGCGCGAGUUGCUCUCCGAUCCGGCCUGUUUCGCCUGUAGUUUGGGUGUGCCGGAAAAUGUUUUGUUUGAACAGAUUACGCGUUUCUCGGAUCCGAGAGCUCCCAAGCCUAAGCGAAAUGGUCUCGGGCAUAUGGGAGGUACUAACUUAGCACUUGUUUCAUUUUAGUCGUUAUCUGGCAUCUGAUUUUGUUGUUUAGUAGUCACACUUACAUAGAGAUUCUCUUCUUGAUUAUGGAUUAUUAUGAAAAAUUUCAGAAAAUGAGGAGCAAGAAGAGCUGCAGCUCAUGCCAUUGCCCAAAAGAAGCCGAAAGGAGGAACCAGAUGUAAGUAAUCUCUUUUAACAAAAAGAUGAAUUUCUCAAGGUAUAAUUCAAUUUCAAAAAUGGGGAGUUGAUUCAUUGAUUUUUUUUUUUCUAGGUGAAUGACUACUCUGUAAUGGAUAGCAGAGCUAACGACAUGACAAAUAUUGCCAAUGGGUCCAUGCUUGAGACACUGAAAGCUUUUGAAUCCCAAGCUUCGCUUUUAGUUUUAGGUAGAGAUGGUCGAGAAAUAGGAGCAUUUGACCAAAGUCCUUGGUCUGGUCCACGGACUAGAAUUUUUGGAUGCGAGAUUUUCUCCAAUGCUUGUGUGGAUGUCGAUCCUAUGCACUGCUUGGGGGAACGCAAGCAAGAUUCGCCAUCUCCUCGAGAGGUUGGAUACUGUAAGCAAAUUGAGAUUGAAGAUUUUCAAAUUGUUGAUAACCUAAGAUUAUUCGAAGACGAUGAGGAUAAAAACGAGAAGGAUUUGUUCCAUAAGGGGGAGAUACGAACUCCCGAUGUGCAGUCCGAUCCUGCUGCCCCUUCGAUGCCAUCAGAAAAUGAGUUAAAAUCUGUAUAUAUUGUAGAGGACACUGAAGAUAUGCUUGCCUUGAGUUGUAACCCAUUAAAGCAAGAGGACAACGCUGUAGACAUCUUCAGCACCCCUGUCAAAGAGCUGCCUUUGAUGCCUUCUGCAACAAUAGCUAAUCAAGAUAGAUCCUUGGUACAGAAAACACAGGAUCUGUGCAAAUUAUCGGGAAACAGCAAAGGUUACAGCUGUUCCCCUGAGAAAAAACACACCAGGAAAUGUAAAGCUAUCCAGAGGUCAAAGCAGAAUCUUAACUCCGUUCGACCUAAAGAUCAGAAGGUAGACAUUUCUUUUUUAUCUAGAGUGAGCCCCUUGCAAUUCCGUUUUUUUAUUUAUUUAAACAGCUUUCCAUGUUGCUGAAAGUACUUUUAUACCAACAUUGAGGAUUAAUCCACUAUAUUAAGAUUUCUCAUAUCUGUUGUUUAGGAUGAGUCAAAACAGAACACUUUUCCAGUUUUUGAUUCUUACACUAUUGUAGAGGAAGAAGGCUCAGGUACAUUUUCCUUACAAUUUCAUCUAUAUUCCUGAUUUUGUUGAAACAGCUUAAUUGGUUAUCGGCUAAUGAUUGGUGAAAUCCAACUGUAGGUGGCUACGGGAUUGUUUAUAAGGCAAAGAGGAAAACCGAUGGAAAAGAGUUUGCCAUUAAAUGUAUGAAACAGAAUGAUAUGUUGCUAGAUUUUUUCACUUCGUCACAUCGUUUUUGGUUGGCAAUUUGGUCUCAUGUGUUUUCCAUACAGGUCCCCAUGCUGGUGCUCAGAAAUACUAUGUUAAUAAUGAACUCCGAAUGCUGGAGCGUUUUGGGUAAGUAACAAAGUUUGAUCCGCUAAUGAACCUCCUACAUAUUUAAACCCAAAUAUCUGAAAUUGCCUAAAUGUUGGUUCACUUAGGGGGAAAAACUUUAUAAUAAAGUUUGAAGGCUGUCUUAAGAACGGAGAUUCCGAUUGCAUGAUCCUUGAGCACCUUGAACAUGACAGACCUGAUUGUUUGAGGAGAGAAAUAGACGUGUAUCAGCUACAGUUGUACGGAUACUGCAUGUUCAAAGCUCUGUCAAGUCUUCAUAAGCAGGUAAAGCAGAUGUUGGACUAAAACUUUUGAGCAUUCAUAUUUCAAUCACGCAACUAACCAGUUAUAUUGUUUUCUUUUGCAAAUGUGAAGGGUGUUGUUCAUAGGGAUGUUAAGCCAGGCAACUUUCUUUUCUCUAGGAAGAGUAGCAAAGGCUGUCUCAUUGACUUUAACCUCGCCAUGGUUAGCAUUUUUCUGGCACCCUUCUCUUAUUAAUACUUUUCUAGCAACAUUUAUUGGUUAGUGUUUUGUAUAAUAGAAUUUGAGGUUACGAAACCUGUUUAGUGCUCUUAUAUAAUAUUUAGGUCAGUGUCUACUAGAGGCACUGAAAAGCUUGAGCUGAGCUAUCACAAACGUUUGUGUUCAUAGUUUGUGUUAUGUUCCCACCCACUGAUAUUAAUUUCACUUUCCUCUGUGGCUUAAUUUAGGAUUUGCACCAGAAGCACAGGAGAGCCGGUAAACUUCUCCCCUCAUGCAUUUGGGUUGAAUUAAGUAAAACAAAUGGAAACUAAAGCUAUCCCUUAUAUGUAUAUCAGAUAAAUCAAAAGCAGCUACAGAUCUCCCAACCGCCAGCAAGAAGCAUCAUACUUUGAUUAAAUCUCCUGACACGACCAACCGAGUGACCAACAAAUCUUCUCAGAAAACUUUAGCGCCAAAUAGUCUGAAGAAAGCAGCGGGAAAGAUAAGAGCUCAGACUGACAUGAGUAGAUGGGAGAGGUUCAAUAGCCAAGGCGCGGAAGGGUCUGGCUUAACUUCGGCCAAAGAUGUGACCAGCACAAGGAACCACCCUUCAGGUGAAAAGAGGAGAGAGCCUUUGCCAUGUCAUGGAAGGAAAGAGCUUCUAAACUUUCUGCAAGAGACAAUGUCUGGUUCAAUUCCAAACCACGAAGUAUCAUCCAAAGCUCCUACAUCUAUGAGAAAACGUGUUGCUGCUCAUCCAGGGAAAGCUGAGAAACAGCUUCUUCAUCUGACCCCAAUGCCGCUGCGCUCUAAUGGUCGGCGUGAAGCAGGUGGAUUCCUGGUGUAUAAUUUGACUCUUGUUUUUUGUUUCAGAGUUUAACUUUAACCCUAAGAAAAAAAUCUGACUUACUAGGGGAUGUAAGUAAGAAGAAAGAUGGUCCUUGCUCAGGAACGAAAGGCUACCGAGCACCAGAGGUACGUCAACUGUAACUAUCGCUCACUUUGCUUAUAUGGUAGAGAGAGAGAAUGUUAGUGGGUUUAGGCUUCCGAGUUACUAGUAAAUCCAUUUAUAUAUCAUACAAAUCUUAUGCUUUGAGCUACUUAUUAGAACAUUUUAUGAUGGGAAAGCUAAUUCUCUGGGGCGGUUCUUGGCUGAAUUGGCUUGUGCAGGUUUGCUUAAGAUCUUUGCACCAAGGACCUAAGAUCGACGUGUGGUCUGCAGGAGUUACUCUAUUAUAUCUAAUGAUGGGAAAAACACCUUUUACUGGUGACCCUGAACAGUUAAGAUUUGUAAUUGACUUACUUUGCCAUCACUUCAUUGCAUUCUGUUUUCUUUCUUUCCUUCUUACAACGGCCUCUUGAUUCUCAGGAACAUAAAGGACAUUGCGCAGCUACGAGGCAGUGAAGAAUUAUGGGAAGUAGCCAAGCUGCAUAACCGUGAAUCUUCUUUCCCUGAGGUAAUAAUCGCACCUUAUCACCCUUGUAGACUCUUCUUUGCAUCGAUUGCUGCAUUUGUGUGGCAUAAUAUGGCUAUGUACACAUGGUCGGUUCUUAAAUCUAGAGAAAGAGAAGGUUGAUCUGGCUAAUAUCGCAUGCUCUGUUCUCCUUUACCGCCAGCAUUUGGAUUUAAAUAUCAAAUACUGUAAGAGGGUUUUCAGUUAUAGCGCUUUGGGUCCUAUUGCGGAAAACGGGGUAUAUAUUAUUAUAUACAUUACAUGAUCUGAUACGUUGUAUGGAUAGAUGAUAAAAAAGAGAUGAAUUCACGUAGCAAUUUUGUUUUUGCUCCAGGAAUUAUACGAGUCAAGGUACUUGAAGAGGAUGGAGCUGAGAAAAUGGUGCGAAAUCAACACAAAACGCAGAGACUUCCUAGACGUGAUUCCACGGUCGCUGCUUGACCUUGUUGAUAAGUGUUUGACUGUUAACCCAAGGCUACGAAUCGGCGCAGAGGAUGCUCUCAAGCACGACUUCUUUUAUACAAUCCAUGAAAAUGAAACCCUUAGAAAACAAAGGCUCCUAAAGCAGCAGCAAACGGGAACGCAGCCUCCAGUGGUGGCUAAUUCAGUAGGCCAACCGCUAAGCUAGAAAUCACAAAUGUAAAUUAAGUAAUAACAAAAUAUUAUAUGAAAGCUUCACUCCACAGGCCACACCACAAAUCCCAUAGUAGUAUAUGUCUAUAUGACUAGGGAACAUAUCAUAUUUGUUAUUAGAAGCAAGUCUAACUUCACUUGGGCCUUAAAUAAAUUUCGUGUUGGGAAUUGAUAUCAUUCAGUAAAAGUCCAAAAGUCUCUCGUCUGCGAAAUGGAAGAGAGUAAUGUCAAGUUUGUUUCUCACAGACUCACCCUAUGAAUUGCCGUGCAGCGUACGGAUCUUCUUAUUUUCUCUCAAUCUCUUCCUGUGACAGGAUUCUUCAUCACUAAUCUGCAACGAAUACUGGUUCACUUCCAUGGCGUCUUCUUCUUCUCGUUCCUGGAGAUACGAUGUUUUCCCGAGUUUCAGCGGUGAAGUUGUCCGCAAAUCAUUCCUCAGCCAUCUUCUGAAGGAGCUUGACCGCAAAUCAAUCAAUGCAUUUAUAGAUGAUGGGAUCGAGAGAAGCCGCCCGAUCGGCCCUGAGCUUUUAUCGGCGAUUAGAGAAUCGAGGAUCUCAAUCGUCGUCUUCUCAAAGAGUUAUGCUUCUUCCACGUGGUACCUGAAUGAAUUGGUGGAUGGAGAUCCACAAGUGCUAUAUGGAGUUUGACCAAAUGGUGAUUCCACAGCGUUGACCCUUCGGAAGUUCGAAAACAUACCGGAGAAUUUGGAAAGGUGUUUAAAGAGACAUGCGACGGCAAAACGGAGGAUCAGAAGCAAAGGUGGAUGCAAGCUCUCGUAGAUGUAGCAAAUAUGGCCGGAGAGGAUCUUCGGAACUGGUAUAAACUAUAAACCUUGUGUUAUCAUUCCAUAGUUCGUGUCGUGCAUUGACUUCGAUUGUGCUUUUAGGGCAGCUCUUUAAUGUCACAAUUUGUUAUUAGGUGUAACGAAGCCAGCAUGAUUGAAAAGAUAGCCGAUGAUGUUUCGAAUAAACUUAUCACAACAUCGGAUUGUUAUGGCGAUUUGGUGGGGAUUGAAGCUCAUUUAGAAGCAAUGAGCUCAAUAUUGUGCUUGGAAUCCGAGGAAGCUAGAAUGGUAGGGAUUUUGGGGCCUUCUGGGAUUGGUAAGAGUACCAUAGGAAGAGCUCUUUUCAGUCAACUCGCUAGCCAAUUCCAACUUUUGUAACUUAUAAAAGAACCAACCAGGAUGACUACGGCAUGAAGUUGUGUUGGGAAGAAAAUUUUUUAUCAGAGAUUCUUGGUCAAAAGGACUUGCAGAUAUACCAAUUAGGUGCGGUGGAGCAACGGUUAAAACUCAAGAAAGUUCUCAUUGUUCUUGACGAUGUUGAUGAUAUAGAGCUCCUAAAAACCUUGGUUGGGCAAACGGAAUGGUUUGGAUCCGGGAGCAGAAUUAUUGUGAUCACUCAAGAUAGGCAACUUCUUAAGGCUCAUGAGAUUGACCUUAUAUAUGAGGUGAAGUUCCCAUCUCAAGAUUCUGCUCUCAAGAUGUUAUGCCAAUCUGCAUUUCGGCAAAACUCUCCACCUAAUGGUUUAAUGGAAUUGACAGUUGAAGCUGCCAAGCUUGCCGGUAACCUUCCUUUGUGUCUCAGUGUCUUGGGUUCGUCUUUAAGAAGAAAGGACAAAAAAGAGUGGGAGGAGAUGCUGCCUAGACUCCAAAAUGGUUUGGACGGGAAGAUUGAGAAAAUAUUAAGAGUCGGCUACGAUAGAUUAGAUGGCAAAGACCAAGAGUUAUUUCUCUUCAUUGCAUUUGCAGGUUUAUUCAAUGGUUUGCAAGUCAGUUACAUCAGAUUAAAUGAUGUCAUUGAUGUGACAAUCAGUGUCAGUGACAUCAAAUGCUUGCUCGGAGAUGGUGUUACCACUGGGCUUACAGUGUUGACUGAUAAGUCCCUCAUACGUAUAACACCGCACGAAACUAUAGAGAUGCACAAUUCGCUACAGAAGUUGGCUAGAGAAAUUGGUCGUGCAGAGUCUAUAAACAAUCCUGGAAAACGACGAUAUCUGGUGGAUGUUGAGGACAUUUGCGAUGUUUUUACGGAUAAAACCGUAAGUUUUCUCGCAUAUGCUUUUAAUGCUCGGCUUUAUAAAAUUUAAGCGUUAUUUGGUGAUUGAUAGAUAAACUUUUACGAUUGUUCCCACCUGCUUUAUUUGAGCGCGGGGCUCAGAUGUCAUAAGGAGAAAAAAAAAAUCUCGCCUGCCAUAAAUCAUUGUGUAUUGACGUUUUUAGCCUUAAUGAACUGAUUAUAAAAUUAAAUAAAAUCGUUUAUUUUUAAAAAUAAAAAUAAAAGCUGCAAAUAAGCUUCUUCUUCCCCGAGUUAGGUUUCCGUACACAUCCGCCGCCGCCGCAGAGAGCUUGAUUCGAACCACCGUCGUUUGCUGGUGCCGGCUCAUUUUUUUUGUUUAACUACUCUUUCUUAUCCUGCCAUUUGUGUGAGAAGACUUCGAAAAGGUAUGGUGGUGUGUAUUUUGGAGAUUUAUAAAUUAGAGUUUUUUUUUGUUUGUUUGGUGGUCGUUUAACUAUGUACAUUGCCUAAGUUUGUUGUUUAUUGGUUAAGUUCUCUUCGAAUCGAUGUUAAUUUGUCGAUUUUUAGUGUUGAAUCUGUUUGGUAGAUGUGAAACGAGGAUGUGAAACCAAAGAUUUUAGCCAAGAAAGUUUGGGAAUUUAGAUAACUGGUACAAAAGGUAUAAGUAAAAGAUACGGGACAAGUAGUACAAAUGGUAGAACUGAUAAUUAUGGGACAACUAGUACAAGUCUCUGUUAAGACUGAUAAUGUGGGACAACUAGUACAAAUGUUAUAGUGAGAAAUUCGGGACAACUAGUAUAAAAGGUAUAACUGUGAAACGUAAUUGGUAAUAUUAUUUUUUAUUUGCUGCGUAUACCAGGAUAUAAUGAGCAUUGGCCACACCAACAUAAAUUUUGAGUAUGGAGGAUAUUAUUCACGGAACAAACGACCAACAGGUGUAACCCAGGAGUUUAGUUCAGGAACAAACGACCAACAGGUGUAACCCACGAAGAACUGGACAACUGUGUUUUUUUCAUCUAAUCAUGUUUUAGGACAUCUAGACAGCUAUGUACGUAUGUUGUCAUUUUCAUUUUUUUCAUAUGUUUAGAUAUCGGGAAAACUGGACAACUAUUACAACUAUGUUGUAUUUGUGAAGUACAAUUGACGUUUCAUAUGUUUGAAAUUGGGACAACUGGACAACUAGUACAAUUAUGUUGUAUUUGUGAGGUACAAUUGACGAAUCAUAUGUUUGAAAUUGGGACAACUGGACAACUAGUACAACUAUGUUGUAUUUGUGAGGUACAAUUGACGAAUCAUAUGUUUGAAAUUGGGACAACUGGACAACUAGUACAACUAUGUUGUAAUCAUAUGUUUGAAAUUGGGACAACUAGACAACUAGUACAACUAUGUUGUAUUUGUGAUGUACAAUUGACGAAUCAUAUGUUUGAAAUUGGGAUAACUGGACAACUAGUACAACUAUGUUGUAUUUGUGAUGUACAAUUGACGAAUCAUAUGUUUGAAAUUGGGACAACUAGUACAACUAUGUUGUAUUUUUGAUGUACAAGUGACGAAUCAUUUGUUGGAAAUUGGGACAACUGGACAACUAGUACAACUAUGUUGGAUUUGUGAUGUACAAUUGACGUUUCAUAUGUAUGAAAUUGGGGUUUAGUACAAACCCUAGACAACUAUGAAAGACAUCUAAAAUGAGGUUUUAAAGAAGCUUCAGAAAAUGGGAUAACAAAUUAUAAGUUUAGAGUCAUAAUAUUGGUUUGACACUAAACACUCCUUAUAAAACAAGAGAGUCUUCACUAAUACUCAUCACAUGAUGAUGGAUAAAUGCAAAUGUUUGGAUUUAAUCAAAACGGAUUAAUCAGGACUUUUUAAUUGUGGUAUGAAACUUCAAACAAAUAUGAACAACUACAAUAUGUGGUAUAUGGUCAUGGGUCAACUGGAAAUAUUUGAAAAAGCUUAAAGUACAACUCUUACAAAUAUUGGACAACAAUACAAGUACGUACAACUAUAUGAUAACCCUUAUCAUAUUAUAUUUGCACGUGAAGCACAUGUGUUUACUAUGGCGGCAAAAUAAUUAAAUAGUUUUUAAAAUCUCUUUUCUUUAAAUUGUUCUUCCUCAUAUUCUACUGAGAACUUCCUCCUUUUUUAGGGUUUCAGCCGCAGAGCAAUUUCACAAGAUUAAGAUAAUGUCGAAGAAGAAAUCUUCCUAAAAAAGACUGCCUUUCCGCCGAAGGAUUACGGCAUGACCACCAGGUGGGGGCCCGAAGUUAAUGGAGUCCGCACCAUUCUUCCAUGUCCCAUACAGAUGGGAAUUCCCAAGGUUUGCCACCACGGAAUUGCUCCAAUUGGCUGUUUAACCAACCAUUCAGCGUUAGAUAGGGGACGUAGGUACUUUGGUUGUUUUUAUGGUUGCCAUAGUUGAAGAGAUUAAAAUGGUAAAAGAAACUCAAGAGGAGAUGAAGUCUUUGUUUGAUGUCAUUAUCUCGAGAAUUGAAGCUCUUGAGGCUGCUGUGACCAAGAAGAGUUGCUCGAAGGAAGUUUGAAGCUCAAGAUCGUUUGUUGAACCUUGUCCUACAUCGUUGUCUUUGUUUCUUGAACCUUGUUGUCCUUUAUUGUCCUACAUCGUUUAACUAUGUUGUCCUUUAUUGAACUACAUUGUUAUCCUUUACUGAACUACUUUGUUGAACCUUGUUGUCCUUUAUUGUACUAAUUUGUUGAACCUUGUUGUCUUUUAUUGUCCUACAUCGUUUAACUUUGUUGUCCUGUAUUGAACUAUUUUGUUGAACCUUGUUGUCCUUUAUUGUCCUACACCGUUUAACCUUGUUGUUCUUUAUUGUCCUAAAUCCCAAAGAAUUGACCAUUAUUGUCCUAAUAUGUCCCAAAUCCAAACAAAUGUCCAAAUUCGAAUAUCAAACAUAAAAUCCACAACAUAAACUAAACAUCCGCAAACAACAUAACCUGUAACUUAAAAGAAAAACAUAACAUCCAGAAAACAAGAUAAACUGCAACAUCCGACACUUCUACUUCGAUAACAUCCAGUCUUCUGCUCUUGUUCUUCACCCUCCUGCUCUUGUUCUUCAGCCUCAUCCUCUUUUUCAUCAGCCUCCUGCUCUUGUUCUUCGGCCUCCUGCUCUUCUUCUUCAGCCUCAUCAUUUCCCUCCUCUUGUUCAUCAGCCUCUUCAUUUCUCGAAUCUUGUUCAUCACCCUCCUCCUUUCCCUCCUCUUCUUCAUCACCCUCCUCCUUUCCCUCCUCUUCUUCUUCACCCUCCUUUCCCUCCUCUUCUUCUUUGCCCUCCUCCUUUCCAUCGUCUGCUUCAUCACCCUCAGCCUCGUCUUCUUCUUCCAUGGGGUUUAUCGUUUCGGUUUCAUCUUCUGUGGGGAUUUUUUGGGCUGCGGUCUCCUCGAUAGGAUUCGGAGAGGUUUCUUUCUCCAUUUCUGUUUCUGAACUACAAACAUCUUCGCUUGUCUUUGUCGCGGCUUCGGUGGGAAUAGGGUUUACAACGGCUUGAGGAAUAUUUCCUUUCUCUUUAUCGGCGGCUUCAGGAUUUACUUCAGAUUCUCUCGCUGCGGCUUGAGAAUGCGAUUCCGUUUUAGGCAACGUUUUCCGACUUUCAGUUGACUCAUACUCGACGCCUUUUUGUUUCACACGAGUCAUGGAGAAGUCGUAACGAACCGAAGAUGGAGAAAUCGAUUAAAACGGAAGUUGUAGAUGGUGGAGUGGAAAUAAAACGAACGCAAUCGGUUAGCUUCUAUCAACACUCGCCGGAUUUUACGCCGGAAAACUCUCUCAAAUCUUUUUUCGAAUUUCAAUUAACUGUGUGGAGGUUUUUUUCCAAGAACUGAUAAAAUGGUAAAGUAAAUUAGGGUAAAUAAAAAGAAAUGCGAGUCGAAUCCGAUUUUAAUUGGGUAGGUUUUCAAAUGCCCAGAUAUUGUUGUAAUUAACGAGACAUUCAUGUAUAAGGUAAUAAACAACCAUCUUUUUGCUAUUUAAAAAAAAUUAAAAAGGAAUUGAUUAUACGAACGAUGGCAUUGGGGCUCUUUCUUCAGCGAUUUAUGGCAUUUUAGCAUUUGAUUCGCUUUAUUUUAACACUGUUACAAUUGUUUUUUUUUUCCUGUUAACUAACAGUUACAAUUGUUAAGAUAAUAGUUUUCGUGUGAUUUUUUUUUUCAGGGCACAGAAGCUGUAGUAGGAAUAUAUUUCGACACAUUAGAAAUCAAAGAGCCAUUUUCAAUAGAUGAAAAAUCGUUCGAAGGCAUGCGUAAUCUCCAAUUUCUAAUAGUUCGAGGGUCUCCACGGGGUAGAUUGCGUCUACCUCAAGACCUCGUUUAUUUACCCCGUAAACUCAUAUUGCUAAAGUGGGAUGGUUAUCCAUCCAAGUGUUUGCCUUGAACUCAGAAUGGAGAAUAGUUUGCUUGAGAAGCUGUGGGAAGGAAUUCAGGUACUAUAGUUUUAAAUUUAUUUCUAAGUUUCAUACGGUGUUACUAUUAGAACAAAUAACGGUCUUAUUUUUCUAUAUAUAUUGUUGUUAAAAGUUUAUAGAAUAUGUGUUCAAAAUGAUUUUGAACCUGUGCAUUUAUUUUUAUUUUCCUGUUUGUUUUCAGCCACUUGGAAGCCUCAAGCAAUUGAUUAUGAAUUGGUCCACAUAUUUGAGAGAACUUCCAGAUCUCUCUAAGGCCAUAAACCUCGAGAAAGUGUAUCUUGAUGGAUGCAAAUCUUUGGUGACAUUUCCUUCCUCGAUUCAGAAUCUCCUGAAACUGAGAGAUUUACAUUUGGAAAAUUGCACAGAGCUAGAAAGUUUUCCAACUCUUGUCAACUUGAAAUCUCUCGAGUACCUCAAUCUCCGAGGAUGCUCCCGGUUGAGAAAUUUCCCUCAGAUUUAUAUGGACAGUUCACAUGGAAUUAGCAUCGAAGUAAAAGACUGUUUCUGGAACAACAAUCUCCCUGGACCCGAUUAUCUCGGUGGCCUUAUGAGAUGUAUGCCUUGUAAAUAUCGACCAGAACAUCUCGUUCGUCUUACAGUGAAAGGCAACAUGCUUGAGAAGCUAUGGGAAGGCGUCCAGGUACAUUGUUAAUGUUUGAAUGUCAUAUGAUUGAAACAUAACAAAAUGUUUGGUUGUUCUGUUUCAGUCGCUUGGAAGUCUCGUGAGGAUGAAUCUGUCAGGAUCUGUAAACCUGAAUGAAUUUCCAGAUCUUUCAAAGGCCACCAAUCUGGAGCGUUUAGAACUCAACUAUUGCCAUAAUUUGGUGACUGUUCCUUGUACAAUUGAGAAUCUCAAGAAAUUGGUAAAGUUGGAAAUGAAAGGAUGCAUAAGGCUGGAGGCUCUUCCAACCGAUGUCAACUUGUCAUCUCUCGAAACCCUCGAUCUCAGUUGGUGCUCAAGUUUGACAAGUUUUCCUCAAAUUUCAUGGAGUGUGAAAAAACUCUAUCUAAAUGACACUGCCAUUGAACAAGUUCCCUGCUGUAUAGAGAAAUUCUGGAGGCUCCUUGAACUAACGAUGUGUCGUUGCAAGAGGUUGAAAAACAUCUCCCCAAACAUUUUCAGUCUGAGCCGUCUUGUGAAGGCAGACUUUUCAGACUGUGAAGGAGUAGAGACGGCAUUGAGUGAUGCAACUCCAGUGGCAACAAUGUCAACGGAGGAUCAAAUUCCUUCUAUACCAUUACACACAAAUGCCUAUAGAAGGGAAUAUUUUGAGUUCAAUAAUUGCUUCAAAUUGGAUAGAAAUGCGCGGGCACUCAUCCUACGAUCAUACGUGGCGCCUACAGUCUUACCAGGUGAAGAAGUGCCUGCGUAUUUCACGGAACAAGCUUCUGGAACUACCGUAGCUGUCAAGUUACCUCAGAGCUUUCUUUCUCAAGAACACCUCGCAAUUAAGGCUUGCGUCGUGGUCGGCAAGGGUUCGCAUUCAUACUUAGGGUUACGCUGGCACUUCAGAGGCGAAGAGCAUUGGGACACAAUAUUUGAAAAUCUGCCGGGGUCUUUUAAGAGGGAUCAUCUGGUUUUGCUUUCCUUCAAGUUCCGGCCUUCACUUCGUUUGGGUUUGAGUGACUUGAGUCCAACUAAUUUUCACUUCGACGAUGUUGAGUUUGAGUCUUCCACCAUCAACCCAUCCUCUGGCACCUUCUCACCGUCGGUCCAGAGGAUAACAGGAUGUGGUAUAAGAUUCUUGAAUCGGUCUACUACACGUCGUCGUCUAUCUAAAUUGGACUACUACUACAACGAUGUUGUCUCUGAGUUCUUCUUCAACCGAACAUUAAGAGAGGAUGCUGAGUACUUCUCUGGAAGAUGAAUCUGAUGAUGGAAGCUCUGGAACAGAGUACAACCAAAAAUCUAUACAAAGUUGUUAUCAAGAAAACAAUCUGUACAAAAUGUGAUGUUGUAGGGAUUGUGAGAAGAAAGAACGGAUGCGGGUAAAGCUUUUUGAACUCAAAAUUAUAAGGGUAUCUCUUGAUCUUUUUUUUCAGGAUCAAUAUCAUAGGUCCAUAGGGAUGAACUAUUUAAUAGACUAGAUCGUUUGGUUUUAUUAUGUAGAUUACAUUAAAAGAAUACAUGUGGGAUGUGGCGAUAAAGUAGCGGACACAGGUAUUGACGCCUCCAAAUAUAGAAUUUCUUCUACAAGUAAGAUACCGUUAGUUUCUUCUAGCAACUUUCAUGUCCAUGGAGCAUCCCUGUAUCUAUCCCUUUCUCCUUCUAUUCCAUGUCUGGAGGGGCAAGUUUUGUCUGUUGAUCCCCGAGAUAACUGAACAACUAGAUAUAUACAGAAACACUCACCGUGGAUCCUUUGUCGCACCCAGAGCUUACCAACUUUUUUUUACGGUAAGUGAAACAUCUUACAGUUCUGUUUUGUUCUAUAACAUCUUGCGAAUUGCGAUCGACCGUGGCUAUGCUGAUCUUGCCAAGACGUUUUCGUAGUUUUUUACGCAAUCCAUUUUUCCCUGCAGGUGAUGGUGAACUUCUCGAGAACCAGAACCUGUUUACGCACUCUAUUCUUACUUCUUUGUGUUACUGUUUCCCUCUUUGAGAAUUUCGCUUUUCAUGAAAGAAUAAACAUCUUUCAAAUAGCCACAAUUCAGCACAUUCUGGAAAAUUUUCUUUAGCAGGUUUUGUUUUGUACCAUAAAUCUAUCGGUUUUUAGUUGGAAAUUCGUUGAAUUUGUGAGCUUGGGUUUUACAUACUUGACUCGGGUAGUUUUUCUUUCCUUCUAACAAAGCAAUGAAUAAAUCAGGAUUUGGCCAAACUAAAAAUGUAUAAAAAAAAAUUCACUAGUUCUAAAUGGCAAGACCCUCUUCAUCAUCAGCAACAUUUGGAUCGCUGUUUCCAUGACGUUUCCUACACUCGCAGUAAAAAACAGUGACUACAACAUAACUCAGCACCACCUCAGCACCAUACAUACAAAUCAACUUCCACCCGUCUAAGCCACCGCUCACCACCACCGACCUCCACCACGACCCUGAGCUCGAGUCUACAUCUAGCUCCUUGGCCAGCUUCUCCAUCCCAUGACCAAUGAAACUCGAAAGAAACACAAAUACACCCGCCAAAGCCAAUCCAGUUAUCCUCCUCCCUUUCAUCAGAGAAUUUCCUUCCUUAAUCGCAUCAAAACCGUAUCUUUCUUCUAUCACAGAGACGACAAGGCCAAGCCCUGUUAUAGCCAUUAUGUAUACCUCAACGCCGAGACUGAGAACCGUGAUGAGGUAACGCAAUGUGGGUGUAUAACCCAAGAGAGCUGAUAGAAACAUGGGAAUCGGAGAGUAGAGGAAGAGCAGACCAUAGACAACAAUGGAAGUUGCAGUUACUCGCAUCCACGAGGACUUCACUGAUGCAAACGAUGACUUCAGAGACGUGUUUAGGCCGUUGUGUGAGAAGGAAGUUGAUGUGAUGACGGUUAUGGAUGCGAUACAGGAGAGGAUGAAGGACGGGACGAAAUAUCUGGAUUUGAGGUGUAGAAGCGAGACAGCGUCUUCUCUAGACUCUUGCCAGAUCUGUCUAGCUUCGAACCUUGUGUGCACGACGUUGGCCAGGGCUUCUAGACGGAAGACAUGGUUUUUAAGACGAAAGGAGGAGAGAGUUAGGGAGAGGUGUAAGGCUGCGAGAGGGAUUGCUACAAAGGCAAAGACUGGGAAUAAUAUGUGUUUGUUUCUCAAGAGAAUCAUGAAGGAGUCUAGGAGUGUUGUGGUGAUCCGCGUGGAAGAACCAGGUCGCUUUACUUCAAUCAUGAUAUCAAAAGGCACAUAGAAGCCUGCUGCUUAAAGCUUCAACCAAUGUUGGGACAACUCGAAACAGAGUAGAUACACUAUGCUUCUAGAGAAUGUCUUGUAUGAGGCCUGUGUAAACAAGAAAGCACAAAGCUUUUAGCAACUCAGAGAAUCAAUACAAGACUAAGUGCAUUGCAAAACCACAGUUUUCUCAGCAAAAAGAAUCACACUUAUCAGGUGGAAAUCACAGUUCCAUAUGAAAGAAUGACACUUUUAGCGAUUAUUCUAAUGACACUUAAACAAGGUUUGGUUCAAACAACAACUCCAGAGAUCAUACAUAGUUGACCGAAAUGUUAAGACUUUUUCUACACACCCCGGAGUUUUCGGAGUUCCAACAAGUUCGAGUUCAUUGAAGAAUAUAAACCAUAAUAUGAGUACGAAUUGAUGCUAUGUCGUCAAAUUAGAUCAAAUUCUGUGAUCUUGUGGACCAAACGUGUAUGAAGAAAUCAAACAAUCGACCGAGAUCAACUAGAAAUAACGAAUCCAGAACUAGAUUCUAUUUCCCAAACAACAGUCUCUAGAAAAAGGGUGAAUUUCGAUUCCCGAUCUAAAACUUGACGACUAAAUCCCAACUUUUAACAUUAGAACGGAAACAAUUAGGUUUAAUCCAAUCUUUUUUGCUUGAUUACGGUCUAUCUGAGAUCGAGACAAACCUGAAAGAUGCGAAAACACCGAUUGGUGUAAGAGGAAAUCCGAAGAAGUAUUGCUUGGAAGGAGAAUUCAUUGAUUUGAGAGACAGAACAAGUCAAUAAGCUUUGGGUUUUAAAGUUUAACCACUGUUUUAUAACUCAGUAAUUCUGUCCUUUGCGAAAAAAAAAGAAAAAAAAAACUCAGUAAUUCUGUCCUGAUUUGGGACAAUUUUGGAUGCCAAUUGCUUUUAUAAUGUUUUCGACCAAUAGAGUUACUUUACUAUUGGAUUACUAAUUAAUCAUUACUUAAUAAUGUUUUUUUGGUUAAUUGAGUUGUGAUGUUGAAUUAGUUAUUUAUCCACUAGAAAUUUCACAUUUUUUUAGUUUUUUUUAAUCAAAGACUCUAGAGUGAGGUAUCAAACAACAUUUUAUUGUAAAAUAUCAAAAUAGACAACUUUUUCAGACAAUCCUCUAUGAGGCUAUGAUUAUGAAUGUGUGUGACUGCGUGUAAUGAAAAAAAAAAACAAAAUACAGUAUACGAGGUAUAAAAAGAAAGAAUUGUCUCGACAACACAACAAAGAGUUUGCUUGCGGCACCAAAUCAUUGGAGUCUUCUUGGUAGUGAAAAGUUGUUUCCUUUCCCCAAAACUGAUUCAACCCGCAAAUGUGUUCCCUUCUCAUUGGAGCCAACAUUUUGCUUCUUGAACUCAGCUUCUUAACGCUGCUGACAAAUUCCAAAUCCAUCUCCGGUUUAGUAUUGUGACUAUUACUUGAGCAAAUCGAAACCGCAAUUGAACACAAGAUUCUAACAUUGCAGAGACAACUCAAUGCUCAUAUCCAGCAAGGUCUUUGGUAAUUCCUAAGUUUCACAAACCAAUGGAUUCAUAGACUGAGAGUCAAUUUCUGCAUCUAUAGAUGAAAUCGAAAACCAUCAAAAAAAUCAACCAAGAUGGUUUUUUCCAAUUUCCUCGGUUUACCUGAAUGAGAGAAGAGCCAGAGGAUUACGCCGCAGAGAAGAAGAAUGAGAGGAAUGAAAUGGAUGACGUUUUCUGCAGAUCUGAAUCGGGACUUCUCUCUCUUCCCCGGUUGAGAAUUCGGGUCGUACCUUGGCAAAAGCAGCUCCACAUCAUCUUCCAUAGCUGUAACGCUCUGAGAUCGAGGCGGAGACAGUGACGGCGUUGAAAGAUUCGCCGGAAACUGAUCCGAAACUCUUGAGCCACUUGCUGAUCUACGCAUCUCUCUCUCCCUAACGUAACUUCUCAAGUCAAAGGUCGAAACUUUUUUCACACAAUAACGCAUAUAAAUACUGUCGUCACGUCAGAUUUGACCAAUAGAGAAGAGUCAAAGCUCUUCUCUUUUUCACCAGUAAUCGCCACAAGAACAAGACCCAUCUUUGAAAUGGUGAAACCUUGUGGUGUCUCUCACCAUGAUCUCUCGUCUCUCUAUCUCCGAGAUAAAUUUGAUUGCUUUAUGGCAAUCACCACAGAUUCUCAGGUUCUUGAAAACUUGUAUCCGUGAACCUUCAGGGAGUUUUAAGCACCCAAAAGCAACAGCUAACUUCUCGCUAUGCCAUAACAAUAGUUUCUUUUUCUGCUCUUCCUCUACAUCGUGUAAAUCAAACUCCAGCUCUGGUAUGUAUCCAGCCAGCUCCAUCUUUUUCUCCAACUCCUUCAGUUUCUUGUGUAUUGACUCUAAUUCCGGGUGGAUCCGAUCACUUGAUCUGAAAUGGUGAACCUUGUUUCGAAUCUCGAUCCAACUGUAUCCUGGUACCUGAAACAAUCGAUUGAACACAUAAAAAGUCUUGUAAAGCGAAUAAAUAAUCACACCUUUUGCAAUCACCAUACCUUCACAACAUUGCUCUGCUUCAUUCUCUUACGAACCCUUGCAACGUCCUCCCAACGACUCAUCGAUGCGUAGAUAUUCGCGAGCUGCACAUACCCAGCUGCAUUACUCGGGUCAAGCUCAAGCAGCUUCUCGGCUGCGAAUUCAGCCAAUUCCACAUUCUUAUGCACCCUACAAGCCCCUAAGAGCGUCCCAAAGACUGCAGCGUGUGGUCUAAACGGCAUCGAUCGUAUCAGUUUCAACGCCUCGUCCAGCUUCCCAGCCCGACUCAGAAGAUCAACCAUACACGUGUAGUGAUCAGGCCGCGGUUCUACCCUGUAAUCUCUCACCAUCGACUCGAAAUGCUGCAUCCCAGUAUCCACUAAUCCAGAAUGGUUGCAAGCUAGCAAAACCGCUACAAACGUUAUCCAAUCCGGUCUGAUAUUGUCAUCUCUCAUCUCACUGAACAAACGCAGAGCCUUUUCUGCUCUACCAUGCUGUGCAUACCCGCAUAUCAUCGCGUUCCACGCGACGACAUCUUUCUUCCUCAUACCCUGAAAGAGCUUCCAGGCAUCACCAAGUUCACCACAUUUGCAGUACAUACUGAUCAGCGACGUCAAUGCGGUUAUCUCACUACACAAUAUAGAUUUACACACUAUCUGAUGGAUCUGCCUCCCUAACCGUAACGCAGAUAACUCGCUGCAUCCAAGCAAUACGCUGCUUAGACCUGACGGGUUAGGCCUAAUUCCAUCAAAAAGCAUUACUUUGAAAAGCUUCAAUCCAUCUCCUGGCCGAGAAUUUUCGACAUAACCAGAGAUCAUAGCAUUCCAUGUAACGAGAUUUUUCUUCACAGUCAUGUCUUUGAACACUGCCUCAGCUAAUUCAACCUUCUUGGCUUUCAUGUACCCUGUGAUCAUCGCCGUCCAGGCCACCACUCCUCUAACAGGAGCCGCUUUGAAGAAACGUGAUGCCAUUUCCAAAUCUCCGCAUUCUACGUAACCAGAGAUCAUCGCGUUCCAAGAAACCUCGUUCUUCUCCGUCAUGGCGUAGAACAAUUCCCGCGCUUUUUCCAUUUCCCUUCUCCGUGCAUACCCUGUGAUCAUCGUGUUCCACGACGCCGCGUCCUUGAAUGGAGCCCGAUCGAAAAAGCUCUGAGCUUUCUCGAAGUCUCCGUUACGAACGUAGCAAGACAACAUGAUGUUGUAGGAGAAAGUAUCUGGUUCAGGGAUUUCGUCGAACAGUUGGUGUGCUUCCUUCAAUCUGCUUGGAUCUUUUGAAAUCCCAACGAGCAGGGUGUUCCAGGUGACUGUGUUCUUAGCUCUCAUCCCGUGAAACACUCGGAGAGCUUCGUCUAUAUCUCCGGAACGUACAAAUCUGGCUAUAAUCUUGUUCAACGGGAAGAUUCGGUCUUGGUCACAAGGUUUAGUCGUCGUUUGAAGCGUCAAGUUAUCGGAGCGAACCAGAGAUGGCUCUGGCGAUGAACAAGAGGAAGACAAACAUGAUCCCACCAAAAUGGCAUCUGGGUUUUCUACGGAGCGCAAAAAGAAUCGAAAUUUCCAGCGUUUGAACGUCCGGUGAAUGUUGAACCGAGAAAGCAUUUUUCAUGGUUUAUGACAGAACAAGGAUGAAAAUGUUUAUAAAUCAUACCAAACAAAAAAAACCUAAAUUUGGAAUUUAACACCUAACAAUUGGGAGAAUCUGAGACAGAACUGAGUUCACUCUCAUUGUAAUAAACUGUUGAAUCAUCUUAUUGUUGAGUUAUUUCUAAUAAGAGACUUAUGUUUUAGAUUAAGUCAAUUGUUGUUUGCUAUUUUCUCGUUAGUGGUGGAACUAGUUGAACUAGUUGAGUCAUGUCCUUGUUUUACGGUUGUUUCAGUUAUUGUACUUUCUUUAUAAGGCAUUAAGGCCGAUGGAAUAAGAUCAGAUCAUUCUGAUGCAAUUUGUGAAUCCUUGAAACCAACUUUACAAUUGGUAUCAGAGCAAAAACACAAACGAGUGAUCAAAGAGAGAGCAAAAAAAAGGAGAGAGAGAAGAUGAGCGACGAUAAAACUCUUACCAAAAUUCCUUCAUUCAAUGGUCAUUACAAUCAUUGGAGUGAACUGAUGGAAAAUCUUUUGCGUGCCAAAGGAUUAUGGAAUCUGGUGGAAGAGGGAUUCACAAAACCGUCGGAGGGAGCCGAGAUGACCGCAGCGCAGCGGAAACAAAUCGAGGAACUCAAGGUGAAAGACCAUCAAGUGAAGCACUACCUGUUUCAAGCCAUUGAUCGGGUGGUAUUUCAACAGAUCUUAGAUCGCAGAACAUCCAAGAUCAUCUGGGAGUCAAUGAAGAAAAAGUUCGGAGGCAAUGAACGAGUGAAGAGAUCUCUCCUCCAAACCUUAAGAAGAGACUUUGAGAUUCUUGCAAUGAAGGCUGAUGAAAGCGUGGACGAUUACUUUGGCAGAGUAAUGUCCGUCUCGAACAAAAUGAGAAGUAAUGGAGAGGAUAUGCCAGAUUCGAAGAUUGUGGAGAAGAUACUUCGAACGCUCACUGACAAAUUCACAUACGUGGUGGUGUCAAUUGAGGAGUCCAAAGACACAAGCAGCAUCACCAUCGACAAACUGCAGAGCUCUUUGUCAGUCCAUGAGAAAAAGUUCAAAAGGACCAGCUAUGAGGAAGAUGAUCAAGCUUUCAAUGUCAAAGGCAGAGGAAGGGGAUCCUCCAGGGGUCGAGGCAGAGGGAGAGGUCGCUCCUUCAACAAAGCAUUGAUUGAAUGUUACAAGGGCCACAACCUUGGGCACUUUCAGUAUGAAUGUCCGCAGACAAACAAUGGUGCAAAUUACGCUGAGAUUGAAGAAGAAGAUGAAGUAUUACUGAUGGCGUUUGUUGAACUUCAAGGCACAAGAAGAGAAGAUGCUUGGUUUGUUGACUCUGGAUGCUCAAACCAUAUGUGCGGAGAAAAGGGUAUGUUCUCAAGUCUGGACACUGAUUUUACGCGUAACGUCAAGCUGGGCAACAAUCACAAGCUGAUGGUUGGUGGGAAAGGAGUAGUGAAGAUAACACUUAAAGGCAUCAGCUAUGUGGUUAACGACGUGUAUUAUGUCCCUGAAUUGAAGAAUAAUCUGUUGAGUGUUGGGCAGCUUCAAGAGAAGAGUCUGGAUGUGCUAUUCAAGGGAGGAGAACACAAAACCUGCAGCAUAUUUCAUCCAACAAGGGGAAAGAUAGCUGAGUCUGUCAUGAGUGCUAAUCGGAUGUUCAUUCUGCUGGGAGAAACAAGUGAGAAAAUGAAGGAAGAAAGAUGCCUGCAAGUUAACAUCUCAGACAAAGCUGAACUGUGGCACCAUCGAUAUGGGCAUCUCAGCCACAAAGGACUUCAUACCCUUCACAGCAAAGAGAUGGUUGUGGGUCUACCUGAACUUGCAGAGAUGAAGACCAUUUGUGAAGCCUGUGUCAAAGGGAAGAAGCAUCGUGUACCAUUUCCUAAGCAAAGCAAGUGGAGAGCAACUGAGAAAUUACAGCUUGUCCACUCAGACCUCUGUGGUCCGAUCAUCCCUCCAUCAAACAGUCAUAAGAGGUACCUGAUAAGCUUCAUUGAUGAUUUUUCCAGAAAAACUUGGAUAUACUUUGUGCAAGAGAAGUCCGAAGCAUUUCAAAUGUUCAAGAUAUUCAAAGCACUCGUGGAGAAGCAAACAAGGUUGUUUAUCAAGUGUUUAAGGACAGACAGAGGUGGAGAAUAUAAUUCCAGCGAGUUCAAAGAAUUCUGUAAGGAGAAUGGGAUCAGAAGGCAGCUAACCACAGCUUACACUCCCCAGCAAAAUGGGGUUGCAGAGCGCAAAAACCGAACCAUUAUGAAUAUGGUGAGAGCAGUCUUGAUGGAAAAGGAGGUGCCUAAAUCUUUCUGGCCGGAUGCUGUGCAGUGGGUAAACCAUGUUUUGAACAGGUCUCCCACCUUGAUUGUUAAAGAUGUGACUCCUGAAGAGGCAUGGAGCGGAAGAAAGCCUUCGGUCGAGCACUUCAGAAUCUUCGGAUGCAUCGGGUAUGUUCAUAUCUCCGAUGUAAAAAGGACCAAACUUGAUGAUAAAAGCGCAAAGUGUGUCUUGCUAGGCUUCAGCAGCGAAUCCAAAGCAUACAAGAUGUAUGAUCCAGUGGAGAAAAAGGUUCACAUUAGCCGAGAUGUGCUAUUUCAAGAAGACAAGGGCUGGAAUUGGGAUGUUGCUUAUUCGGGUGAACAGAACAUGGAGCUUGCGUGGGAUGAUCAGUACGAGUGCAGUGAAAAUCAAGAAAUAGAAGAAGAAGAAGCAGAGGUAGCUGAAGAUGAAGCAGAAGAAAGAACUAAUGUUCCUGUGCCAAACAAUCUAACUGCAGACACAUCAACGUCUGCAGGCAGAACAAGGAGACCACCUGUUUGGGCUGCCGACUUUACCUCAGGAGAGGAGCUGUCAGAUAUGGAGGAAGAAGCAAAUAUGGUCAGGGUUGAUAGUCUCGACAGCACAAUCUGACAUUUAUGGCAUUGAUAGUCAGAGGUAGCUGAAGAUGAAGCAGAAGAAAAAACUGAUGUUCUUGUGCCAAACAAUCUAACUGCAGACACAUCAACGUCUGCAGGCAGAACAAGGAGACCACCUGUCUGGGCUGCCGACUUUACCUCAGGAGAGGAGCUGCCGACUUUACCUCAGGAGAGGAGCUAUCAGAUAUAGAAGAAGAAGCAAAUAUGGUCAGGGUUGAUAGUCUCGACAGCACAAAUCUGGCAUUUAUGGCCAUCUCAGAUCCUACGAGCUUUGGAGAAGCAAGUUAUAAAAUGAUUACUUUUAUAACAUCUCAGAAUACGAACAGAAACGAGAAAGGAAGUGAAACUCACUGAAGACUCGAAACCGAUGAUAACAUUAGAAUUGUCUGUCUGAAACAAGUAUCAUAAAUAAGAAAACAACAAACGACUAAAGACUAAAUGGUAGGUAAACAAAGGAAAAAAAGAGUGUAUUGUUGUUUCAAAAGUAAAAAAAAAAACCGGUCAGGCAUAAGCUUGCAUAAAAUCUAAGAAACUGACGACAACUAAAAAUUUACACCUGACAACAAAAGACCGGUAAACAGUAAAUCAUUCAGACUCGAUUUCAGCAGCGGAGGAAAACUGGAACGAGUUUCGAUGUUUUCAUUGGAUGGAUCUUACUUGCCCCCAAGAGAUGGGAACUGAGCAGUAUCUCCAAUGACAGGCGCAGCUUCACUACGGUGGCCACCAAAUCCGCCGCUAGAAGCACCUCCACGGCCACGACCACGACCACCACGUUCACGGCCACCACGACCUCCUCCUCGGUAGUAGUUCUCACCCUCAGCUGGCUUCAGAAACUCAUUGAUGCUCACAGCCUGCAAAUCAGAAACACACAUUCAUAAGCAAAAAAGCUUAUUGACUUCUACAAAAUAUUUUUGAUUCAGAAAACGAUUUGAACCUUUUUGGCCUUCUCUUCUUUGUCAUCUUUGCGUUUGUCCUUGUCAGAACCCUGUGAAAUAGAUCAAAGCAAGGGUCAGAAUCGUCUAAGCAAGUAGAUUCUAUACACGAUAUUGUCUUACCAACUUGAUGAAGAUUUCAUCGUUAGACUUCUUGUUUGAGAGUUGUUGCAUUGAUUCAAACACUUUAGUAUCAACUUUCCUCUCGGAGGUGGUCUGAGAUUGAAGGGCCUUUUUCUUCUCCUCAAGGAUUUUCUCAUACUCAUCCAGAGUCAUUUCCUAAUUCGAAACACAAGCCAAAACACAAUCAAUGUGAAUAACAAGUAAAUACUGGUGAAAGGGCCUAAUAACUACAACACUGAUUUCAAGUUCCAUCAUCUAUUCUCGGCUUACCUUGUUCUCAGGCUCUUUCUCCUCCUCAGCUUCAGCAGUGUUCUCCUUGUUAGCAUCAGCAGCUACAUCAUCACCAGCAGGCUUCUCCACAGCAUUCUUUUCAGUCUCAGCACCAGCUACUUCCUCAGUCUCACUAAAAGAGACAAGAGAAUCUUCUUUUAGUCCAAAUUCCAAAUUCUUAUCACAUAAACCAACACAAAUGUUUUUACAAAAUGCAAUCAAUCCCAAAAACAAAUGCUUACCCAGCAAAGACUUCUUCUCCUGGUGUUCCCCAAUUUCCACGACCAGAUCCUUCACGUUUGAAGUCACCCCUAACCAAAAGAUAAACUUAAGCUCAUGAGAAUUUCAAUUGCAGAACAUGCCACAACAACAAUAAAAGUUGAGCGAGAGUAAGACUAACCCCCUGCCAGUUCCACUGCGACGCUCGUGCGUCCUUCGAGGACGUUCGCCUUCACCAUCUUCACGUCGACCACCACGGAAAGAACCACGAGGAGCACCUCCACCACCACCACGCCUCUCAUAAGAAGACUUUGACACGUCUCCUUCCUCUGAGGGCUUACUGUAUCCCCCUGAGUAUCCAUUGUUACCUCCGGGACCAUCACCACGUCCAAAAUCACGGUUGUAACCACCAGGACCUCCACGACCACGGCUAAACCCUCCGCUGCCUCUACCACCACCACGUGGAGCUUCACUCCUAGCCUCUUUCACUAAUUAACAACAUUAAGGUACCAACCUCAAUCAACUAAAACAACGAUACAAAACUCCAAAAAUAAAUUCAAUGAAUCAAUCUAGAGAAUCUAAUAUAACAACACAUACAGUCUACUAAAUAAGGAAAUCGAAUAGAUGAGAAGUUUUAUAGUUUGCUAAUCGUGUUUAAGAGAAUCUCACCAGCUUGAGCAGGAGGAAGUGGCUUCGACGGAAGCUUCCCAGCAGCUGAAAUGGGACCAGACUUCUUGGACUUAUCAGUUUUCUCCGGUGGAGCGAUGGAGACGGCGAGCUGGCUUGGAUCCUCAGCGUCGUUACCCAACAGAUCAAAAGGGUUCAAAGUUGCCAUAUCUUAAAAUCAAUCGAAGUGAUUAAAACACACAAACUUUUUUCCUCCCCAAAAGUAUCACACAGAGUCACAGAGACAACUAACAGUAGUAAUAAAGUGAAGCCAUGGAUUAAUAGAUCUAAAGAGUAGAAAAGAAACGUCGGAAUGAAAGAGACGAAAUGGGAAUUAGGACAGGAACUAAUUUGAGUUUGGUAAGAGAAAUGAAAAGAAAGAAAAUGUGGCAAUUUUUGGAGUGGCCGAAAAGCGGCGUAGACAAACCUAAUCGCUUAAAACACCCAGCUUUUCUCACUGAUUGAGUGUGGUCGACCGCAUGGUAAGAUUGAAAUGACCGGCAAGAUCUAACCGUACGAUGCAGCGAUCCUGAAAUCGACAAGAAAACAAUACAUAACUCAACAAGUCAUUAUUUGAGCAAACAUGUUAUUCUUCCAUGGGCCAUUUUUAGUAUUGUUUGAUCAUAUAGGCCCACGAAAAAUUGAUACUUUUUAUUUUAUUAUAUUUUUGCAUUAUCAAAUGAUCUUUAUACGAUCUUGAUAUGUCUAGGACUCUCAAAUCAAUGUCGACAAAAAAAGAUAUGUCUAGGGCUCUAGAGUCUACAAAAGUUUUUGUGAUUUGAAUAACUUCUUAUCUUCUUAUCUAACAUAUACACAACAAACAAAAAAUAUUGUGAUAUUCAAAGAAGUCUUAUGUUUGUAAAUUAGUAAUACUACGAUCGUUUACCUUCUUGGCUUCCAUGCAACGCCAAAUUUCUAUUUAUAACAAAUGUCAAAAGACUCCAAAAUAUUACACAGUAACACAACUUCUAUCAUUUGCAUUUAACAUGCCAAUGGCGAUAAAUAAAAAGCUUUUAUUCCAAAUAGGAACAAACAAAAUAGUCGGCAAACUAAUAAUAACAAUUAGGCUUGUCGGCAAAAAAAAAUACAUUUUUUCAAAAGUGCAUAAAGAAAAAGAAAAUUAGAGCUCUGUCAUGACGACGGACUAGGCAAAACAUCUCCGUUAUCAGGAACAGUAGUAAUACGGCUAAGUCUCAAAGACUUUCCAGUGUACAAAGCCUUGACGUUUGACCGUUGCUCAUCCAAAAGCUUCCUCAAACUACGUUUCGCGUUUGCCCUAAACGGACAGUUCGACGCUAAAAAACCGUCGACCAAAUGCAAAUACGCCUCCAAGUCAUGACAGCACGCCACGUCAGCAUUCGGUUUCAAGUACGGAGACAUCUUCAUAUCUACGCGCAGCUCCGCUCCCACGUGCGAGUAAGCCCAUGGAUUGUUCUUCUCCACCAUCUCCAUUAUUAUACCCCCUUGACUUCUCCCGUUAUUACGAUUCUGCCCUUGCUUAUCGUUAUCGGAGAAUAUCCCGGGGACUUUCGUCACCACGUCCUGGCUGUUCACUACGCGGAGGACUUUCACUCCCUUCGAAUCCAACCGAUCGGCGAACUCCCGGUUUCCGACUCGAGGCCCGCCGAAUGAAAACACCGACACCGGAGGCGCGUGUGGAACACGCUCGGCUAUGUCGUCGGCGGCGAGGAGCGCAAUGGCGGCGCCGAGGCUAUGUCCGGUGACGCUGAUGCUCAGCUCCUCUCCGGCGUAUAGAUCGACGAGCCGGCUGAUUUCUCCGAUUAAUGACUCGGCGAGGCUCGGCGCUUGGUGGCUACCCGUCGUGUAGAGGCUGUUGAAUCCGCAUUCCACUUUGGGCCGGGUCGGGUCAGAUGGAUCGGGUUUGGGUUCGGGCAUGGAGACGAGAUUCGGCCUGAAAUUUUCUGACCACUCGAGCAACGUGGCGGUUCCACGGAGCGCGAUGACGAUCUCCCUCCUCCCCAUCCGUCGGAUCUCACUCGGAUCAUCGCAGACCGCCACGUACCCAACCCAGCUCGUCUGCUUAGUCAUCCACCGUAGAUCUGGUGCCACCUCAUCAAUCCACUUAGGCAAACGAACGGAUGACGUGGCGUAAAGACUUUUUGUCACUUUAUAAGACCCGUCAGGUAACGCCACGUGUCUCGGCGAACCUUCCGGGUCAGAGUGAAACGCUUGGUAAGCCGCCUGCACGAACUCUCCGUACCGGACAAGCUCUCGCCGGAGAUUCUCGUCUAGCGGAUCCAGUAACCCGGCCCAGUUAUUCGACCCGUGUAGUUCCCGCCAUUUAGACCCGAGUUUAUUCUUCGGCGAACGCUCCUCCGAUGACUUGGAGAGAAGCCUUUGGAGACGCUUGAGAUUCUUCGGCGACAUUUCGUCGACGGCUGCUUUCAUCUGAGGCCAGAUUCGCGCCAAAUUCAAACCUUUGAGUAAUGUCGACGUCGACGUCUUCGUUUUAUCUUGACGAGAAGAGACACUGUCGAGAUUAUCUGUAAAGGUCGAUGAGGUCUUGAGAACAUUCUCAAGGUUCAUGAGAUGUUCUCUGUUGGUUUUUCUCGCCGGAAAAACCGAAAGUGUCUUCGUCGGGAUCAAAGUCGAUGUUUGUGUGCUGCAAGUGAAACGACGGCGUUUUGCAUGGAAUAAGUCGGUGUUCGGCGUAAGUGUCUGCAUGAGAAAACUGUGGAGAGAGGUCUUGGCUCAAGUUUUGAUGAGACAAGAACAGAGAUGCUUAAGAAAGUAAAAGGUCUGGUAUUUAUAUGGAAACAUGUCGAUGGUGGCUGUGACGUCAUUUGAAUUAGGAUUGAGCCUUGAAUAUUGAAUGUUAUUACCAUUUUGACCCUCUGUUUUGACUUGACUUUGUUUUUAUUUGAUUUGUUUAUUUCCUUUCUGAUUGUAAGGAAUAUUGAAAUUCUUAUUUAGGACCGUAUUGGCUGGCCAUUGUUUAUAUUUUGGACCGUUUCCAUUAUAAGUCUCCGUGUGUUUUCAAGAAAAGUCCUGCUAUUUUUUCUUUGCACAUGCAAUCAAGCUACCAAAGGGCCGGGUACUUCGAUGGCAGUACGUAUUGUGUAUUCAAUAAUGUAAUUUUAACUAUUAAAAAAAAACCUCAAACUAAUUUCAGGAUAUACAAUUACGGUUUGAAUUGUUAUUAGUUACUUGUGGAUACUGUUGUUUUGCCGUUUUGAUGGACGAGUCUGACUUAAAAGUAGUUACUAGAUACGUGAAAUAGAUAGACAGUAGAAACAUGUUUUGGUCUAUUGUGCCGUCUUCCUAGUUACUAUGAUCGUUGGAUAUAUUGUUCUAUAAAAGGUACAGUCCGAAUAGUAUAGAAAGGAACCCUCUUUUCUUGAUAUAAGAGAUGGCAAAACUCAAUUGGUUUUAUGCUGUGUGCUUAAAGUUAACGCAGUAUAUUCUGACACGCCACUUCUAAAUAUCAAUUUCGAAGACCGGUUUCCGAAUUUUAAGAUUUUUAAGUUUGAUUUGCUAUGAUUUUUAGGUCACUCUCCAAUUAUAUGUAAUAAAAGAAUGUGUGUUUUAAAAACUGAUGAAUUUAAAGAUUGUGAAAAAAAUAUUAAAUUCAACCAAAUCCACCUAAUAUAUAUCCUCUUGUAUAGAUUGUUUAUGAAUCGGUUAUAACUUAAUAAUAAAGAAUGCCUCAGAUUUUUGGUCUACCAUAACAUUCUAACAACUAAUAAUAUAACAGAUUAAAACAAUUGUAAACCAAACAAUAAAUACACCGCGUAAAGCAAAUAGCGUAGGAUGUAAAGUAUAUAUAAAUUUUGACGAAAUAAAAGGACUAUAAGUUCUGAGUUGGUCAAUCUCAAUUCAGUUUAUAAUUUAUUUCUUUACCAUCGGUUAUUGUCGGUAUGUACGAACUAUAGGUGUGUGCAUUUGAAAAACAACAAGUUUAUGUGUGAAAGUGAUAAAGUUAGUGCAGUACCGUUAGAUAACCUUGUACCAACUUACCUUGCGGUCAUGGUUUUAAGAUUAUUGCAUUUCAAACAAUUAUAGUUAUUUACGUUCCCCGUUUGGAGACGGGAUCAAAAAGUUAUAUAUAUACAUAAAAAAAUCUUUAACAAAAUUAUAUUACUUAUGAUAGAGUUUCCAUUUUCCAUAUGAAUUGUUUUUAACUUUGCAAAUACUGCUUUACAAAAUAAAAUUUAAUUUGCAAGGACUUUGAAGUAUGAUCAAUCAUCGAUGUACUUUAUCUUGUCAAAUGCCUGAUAAAAAAAAACAAUAGAUUGCAAGACCACAUGACAGUACCUAUUACAAACGAUGAGUGAUGAACAGAAAUGGAUCAAGCUCAAUCGAUCAUGGAGAAGAUGAGCUCGAGAGAGAAAGAUGAGAAGAAGAUAUUUUGGGAAAAUUUCUGUUAUUUCAUUAAAGGAAAUGUACAAGAGUUAUAUACAAUUGUUGUGUGAUACCCGGGACAAACCGGUUAACUAUUUACAGAUAGUAUUUACAAUAACCAACUAAACCAAGGCCUAAUAUCCCCUCUCAAGAUGGCGCAUAUAUGUUAAUCACAGACAUCUUGCUUAGUAGAGACUCGAACUGAGUUGGAAAUAAUGGUUUAGUGAGGAGAUCAGCGAGUUGGUUACCUGUACGAACAUGCAGAGUUUUAAUUAAGCCCUUGUCAAUCUUUCCUCUAAUACUGUGACAAUCGCGUUCAAUGUGUUUGGUACGUUUGUGAUAAACGGUAUUGUUAGCGAUGUGGAUAGCUGAAGUGUUGUCACAAUAAAGAGAAGAAGCUUCUGAAACAUCGACCCAUAGAUCUUCCAGGAGAUAGCGUAGCCAAAUCAUCUCCUUUGCUGCAUAAGCUAAUGAUCGAUAUUCAGCCUCACUGGUGGACAUGGCAACAACAUCUUGCUUAUUCGAUUUCCAUGAGACCAGAGAAGUACCAACGAACAUGCAGAAGCCUGAAACUGAUCUGCGUGUGUCUGGACAAGUUGACCAAUCAGAGUCGGCAAAACCAGAUAGUUUCAAGUCAGACGUAGCAGAGUAAAAGAGACUCUGUCCUACGGUACCCUUCAAGUAAUGCAAGACCUUGUAAGCUGCAUUAAGAUGAGGAACACGAGGAGAGGACGUGUAUUGACAGAGUUUAUGGACUGCAAAGGUAAUAUCCGGGCGAGUAAAUGUCAGGUAAAGUAAUUUACCGACCAGUGUUCUGUAUUGUUCUGCGUUCUCCAGAAGAUCACCAUCAAUUUUGGACAGUUUGAGAUUUGGCUCCAUCGGAAUAGAAGAGGGUUUACAACCAAGAAGGCCAGUCUCAUCCAACAACUCAAGAGUGUAUUUUCGUUGACAAAGAGAGAUGCCAGAAGAGUUACGAGCAAUCUCUAAACCAAGAAAAUAACGCAAUUCUCCCAAAUCACGCAGCUUGAAAGAGCAUUGUAGAGCAUCCUUGAGAAGUGCAGUGGCGAUGAUAAUAUCGUCCACGUACACAAGAACAGCCAUAUAAACGUUACCCGCAUUUCUGAGGAACAGAGUGUGAUCACCUGAAGACUUAUGAAAACCAAGGUCGAGCAAAGCUUCUGAAAACUUCAAGAACCACUGACGGGAAGCCUGUUUAAGACCGUACAGGGAUUUUUGGAGCUUGCAGACAGCAUUAGGUGGCAGCUCUUCUCCUCCACGAGGAACAUAACCAGGAGGUAAAGACAUGUAAAUCUCUUCUUUUAAAUCUCCAUUCAAGAAGGCGUUAGAAAUAUCCAACUGAGUAAGAGACCAACCCUUUGCAGCAGCAACAGCAAUCAAGAGUUUAACAGUAGAAAGCUUGGCAACUGGUGAAAAGGUAUCGACAUAGUCAAGGCCUUCCUGUUGGGUAUAACCCUUAGCAACCAAACGAGCCUUGUAGCGCUCAAGACUCCCAUCAGCAUUCAACUUGACUUUGAAAACCCAUUUACAACCAACAGGCUUUUUACCUUCAGGUAAAGAACAGAUAAUCCAUGUUCCAUUGUCUUCAAGCGCAGUUAACUCGAUUCCCAUAGCAUCACACCACUCCUUAAGAUCCUUAGCCUGUUUAUAAGACGUUGGUUAUAGGAUCUUAUUCACAGCAUUAAUGAAGAUCAGAUAAGGGUCAGACAACGCAGAGUAGCAAAGGACCUCAGAGAGUGGAUGUUGAGUGGAAGAAUCAAGAGAAUAGCAAUGAUAGUCUUUAAGAUAAGAAGGAGGUUUAGAAGCUCUCGUACGUGUAGUAUCAGGUACAGCGUCUGAAGAUGUACCAGGUGAGGAAUUCUCCGUAUGAUCAGGGUGGACCACAGGAAAGAAAUCCAAAACAUCAGGAGAGAGACUUCCCCUCUGUCUAAAAGGAAACAAGUCCUCGUAGAAGACUACAUUGCGAGAGACAAAGACUGAAUUACUCUGAAGAUCAAGCAGCUUGUAACCUUUGUAUCCCGGUGGAUAUCCAAUGAAAACGCAGGCACAAGCUCGAUCUUGGAACUUGUGGCGAUGUUUAGGUGAAGUACUGACAUAGCAGAGACACCCAAACGUUUUCAGAUGAGUAUAUUCAGGCUUUUUGUGAAGAAGCAUCUCAAAUGGAGUUCUGUUGGAAAGGACCUUGGAAGGAGUCCGAUUGAUGAGAAAAACAGCUGUGAGAACACAUUCACCCCAUAGAGAGAGAGGCACUUGAGACUGAAACAACAAAGAUCUAGCAACAUUCAGGAUAUGCUGAUGCUUCCGCUCAACAACCGAGUUUUGUUCAGGCGUCUCUGGACAAGAAUGGUAGGAAACGAUGCCCUUUUUUUUGUACAAAGAAUCAAAUUUUAAUUCAGGUGCAUUAUCAGAUCGAACACCUUUUAUCUGUGCAUCAAAUUGUUUCUCAACCAUUGCUAUGUACUCAGGAAAGACUGUAAGAACAUCACUCUUUAAGCGCAUCAAGUAAAUCCAAGUGACCCUUGUGUGGUCAUCUACUAUUGUCAAAAAAAUCUUAAUCCCUCCUGUGUUGGUUCUGAGAAAGGCCCCCAAACAUCAAUGUGAAGCAAUUCAAAUGGAGAAGAACAGAAGUUGUGACGAGUAGGAAAAGACAAUUUCUUUUGCUUAGCACGAUGACAAAUAUCACAAUGCAGUAAACCCUUAUUUUUGGCUUUGGAAAUACCAAGUUCAUCCAUACGAAGGUCUAAACGUUCAAAAGAAGUAUGGCCAAGCCUUUGAUGCCAAACAGAUGCAUCAAUUACAGAGUUGUAAGAAAAGAAGUAGAAACAGGUUCUGCAGGUGCUGAAUCAUCCACAUCCAACACGUACAGAUUAGCUACCCGUCUACCGCUUCCAAUCGUCGAGCCCUUGAUACGAUCCUGUAUCAGACAAGAGUCAGGAUCAAAUAUCACUCGAGAGCCCAUAGCCGAUGUCAAAGCACUGAUACUCAACAAAUUCAGGCAAAACUCAGGUAUAUACAGAACAUUCUUCAAGACAAUAUCAGCAUUGAUUACAACACCACUGACUUUAACUGUAGCUCCAUUAGGUAAGUUCACAUGAUGCUGAACAGCAGUAUUAAUAUCACAGAACAGCGAGAUAUCGUGUGAAACAUUAUGAGUUGCACCAGAGUCAAUAAUCCAGGUUUUAACAGCAGUCACACAUUCAGUAACAUUAAGAAUACCGAUGAAACUGAAUGUGAAGGAUGAGAAAGUAAUACCAGAUGGGUUAUUGGCUUGAGAACUCGUACUUGCAGAAGACACAUUAGUGGAAGGAGUAUGUGGUUUCGGCUGUAGCUGAGAACUGAAGAAAGCAAUGAAAUUAUGUAUCUGAUCCUUAGUCAUGCUUCCAACAAGGCUAUCCAAACCUGGCUCUGAUACCAUAUUACAAACGAUGAGUGAUGAACAGAAAUGGAUCAAGCUCAAUCGAUCAUGGAGAAGAUGAGCUCGAGAGAGAAAGAUGAGAAGAAGAUAUUUUGGGAAAAUUUCUGUUAUUUCAUUAAGGGAAAUAUACAAGAGUUAUAUACAAUUGUUGUGUGAUACCCGGGACAAACCGGUUAACUAUUUACAGAUAGUAUUUACAAUAACCAACUAAACCAAGGCCUAAUAGUACCAGACUAGACUUUCUUUAUAAGAAAUCUUUGUACAAUUUAUCUAACAAUACAAACAGAAACAACAAGUUUAGUGAAAUUUUCUUACAUGAUAUUGCAGAGUUAUAUAAGUGACAUCUACCGUCCAAACUUAACAACCUUUCAAGUUUCAACAUACAAGAACUUCCAGAGUCGUAGAUUUAUAUACUUCGUGUAUUUCUAAAGUUUAAUCACAAAAGUGCAACUCUUAUUAGCAAUAGUAAUUCAAUCGUUCGUCUACAAAUGCGAAACAUUAAUACAAACUCAAAUUAGAGUUUCAUGGACUACAUAUAAUGUAUACAGUAAAACCUCUAUAAAUUAAUAAUGUUGGGACCAUGAUAUUUUAUUAAUUUAUCGUGAUAUUAAUUUAUCUAUAAAUUAAUAAUUAUUAAUUUAUAGAAAAAAUUGUUUUUUGCAUAUAAUUUUCUAAAAAUUUAUUUAGAAUAAUGUUAUAUUUUAUAAUUUUAACAAAUAUCAUAAUAUACAUUAUGAUUAAAAAUCAUAACUAUCACAAUAAAAUAAUUUUCAGUAUAUUAGAUUGUCCAUAAAAAAUAUACAUGUUCAUAAGUUUAAAAUUUAUAAAAAAAACUAUGGUUACUAUCAGUAUUAUUGAUGAUAAAAUUGAAGAUAAUACUACAAUACAUUUACAAAUAUUUACAUGUAAGAAAAUCAGUUAUCACAUCAAAAAAUCAUCAUAAAUUUUGAAUGUAUAUAGUAAAACAGCAAUAAAAGUUACUAAUAUAAUAAUUAGAGAGAUGACUUUAACUAAAAACAAACACAUUAGUCAUAUUUUAAAAUAUUAAAUUUAUAUAUAUUUGCAUAAAAUUAUAUAAUUAUUAAUUUAUGUUUUUGUUGGGACCAUGUAUUUACAUAAGGGUUUCAAAAAAAAUUAUUAUCUUCUUAUUUUAUCUAAUUUGAUGGAUUUUUACAUUGACCCGACUUGAAACCAGCAAAAUUUAUUAAUUUAUAGUGAUUAUUAAUUUAUCGAGUAUUAAUUUAUAGAGGUUCUAAUGUAUUUAAGGUAUGGAUCCCACGUACUAUUUUUAUAAGUUUACAAAAAUCAAUUCUUCGUAAACGUAUGACUCACAACUACAACAACCUGGCGUCACGCCUCAGUACGUAGUUUAUUAAAUAAACAGGUCAAAUAUUUAUGUUGCAUUCAAUACCAACUGCACAGGAAAAUAUUCCCAUAUUCAUGCAUGGUAACUCGUUCAACAAAUAAGAAUAAACUUACGUAAGCAUUACCACCCAACCAACAAAUUAAAUCUGGAAACAUGUUUGAAGUUUUCAAAUCACAUACUAGACAUUUCAAAUAUAUGAUCACCUUUUCAACAACUGUAGUGAAGUACUGAAAUAAAUAUAUACUUUAUUUUACAUGUCCUGUUAUUUUACAAUAUUUAGAUUUACAUUGUCAAGAAAAAAAUAACGUUCUUUGUUCUUUUGUUGGGCAUGGCUCGAUGCCUCGAUGGCUAGAGGAACUCUCAACUAAGCGUGUUGAACCGUUAAGGUUUGCCAUCCAGCUCAGCUGUAUUAACGACACGUGGAAAAGUCAGACCCAUUGAUUCAACAUUUGACUAAACUUCUACAGUUCUACUGUUCCGACUUACGAAUGUAUAGAGAAUCGCAGCCGCUUAAUGGGCCUCAUUGACUUAUUAGCCCAUAAAUGUCUUCGUGUAAAAUAUAUGUGCACAAAAAAAUGAAAAAGACGUUGUCAAGAAAGAAAAAAUGAAAAAGACUAUACAAUCUUUUUAACUAAGAAAUCUCAUUCUUUGUAUACAUCGAAACAGAGACAGAAAACACAACAAUAUUUGCUUUUGAGUUAUAGAAUGAUUUAAGAAAUUAUUAUUGUUUUGGGAUAGUUUUUUAUAUGACUUUAUAUAUAGAUAAAUAUCACAUUUAUGUUCAAAAUCUGUUUAUAUUAACAAACUGGUUUAAGAAAGAUAAUCUAAAAUAUAUAGCAUAAAAUAAAUUUGAAUUACCCUUAAUUUUUUUUGGGGUAAAAUUUACCCAUAGUUAUAGAAAAGUAAAUACUAUGGAUAAACUCGAAACUAGUAAACUUAUCAGGUAAGUAGUCUUCAAUCACGUGUCUAUUCACUAGAGAUUUCUCGGAAAAAAAAAAUUCUUGCAUCGGCCUAUGAUAUCGGACUGUGAGAACUGAGAAUCAUCAAAAUGCAAGGAGGAAUAGUGCAUCUCACCACUCCAGUCUUCACUGAAUGUCGUCAACAUGUGAUGGGAGCAUACACACAAACGGAAAAAAGGCCGAUUCGUACCUCAACACUAUAACUUGUACCAAUAAAUAUCCAUACAAUUUUAAUAGGUUAAUCAGUACCUGAACUUAUUAAAAUUGGUAAAUACAUACCUCAACAAUGUUUUUGUGGCCAAUUAGUACAUUGACUUACUGUUAGUCAAAUCUGUUAAUUUGCAAACAGAAUCCGACUCAGAUGCCACGGUGGAUGUUGUGUUCGAAUGAAACCAAUACAACGUCGUUUAAGGUUAAAAAUUUGGAAAAAGAGGCAAAAACAACGUCGUUUUAAAUUUAUUAUUCAUUAAAAAAAUAAACCAUCUAUAUCUUUUUUCAUCUUCGUCGUCCCUCUUCUUCGUCAACUUAAAACGGGGAAGAACAUCGAUAGUUAGGGUUUGGGUAGUGUUCGAAAAAAUCGGAAUGACUUCAUUGUCGAACUCUUACGCUUCCUCGAAGAUUCCAGGUAGGUUUAAGUUUGCAAUUUUGAUUUUGAUUUUGAUUCAAACACUUUCAGAAAAUCAAAUCGGAAAUUUCAAUUUUGAUUUUUUAAAAAUGUAUAAUAAAUUUAAAACGACGUCGUUUUUGCCUCUUUUUCCAGAUAUUUAACCUUAAACGACGUCGUAUUGGUUUCAUUCGAACACAGCAUCCACUAUGGCAUCUGAGUCGGAUUCCGUUUACAAAUUAACAGAUUUGACUGACAGAGAGGAAGUCAAUAUACUAAUUGGCCACAAAAAUAUUAUUGAGGUAUGUAUUUACCAAUUUUAAUAAGUUCAGGUACUGAUUUACCUAUCAAAUUUUUUUGGGUAUUUAUUGAUACUAAAUUAUGGUGUUGAGGUACUAAUCGGCAUUUUUCCCACACACAAACUAGGAAGACAUUCACUGGCCAAACCUAACUAACGUUCAUGCUUUGAUGGUGUAUUGUAGGAACGCCCCGAACCUACUUAACACAUGACACAUGCAUACUAUCGACAAACGGAAAACAUAUUAGUCCCAUAGAAUAGUGAGUGAUGGAUGCUGUAUCCGAAGUCCGAACCCGAUUAAAAUAUAUAUCACAUAGAUACCUAGCUAGACGCCUAAUACAAAGUGAUAUAUAUAUAUAUAAGAGAUAUUGACUCUCGAGUCUCGACCAAUAUAUAUCUUAAAAUAUUCAAAAUGUACCCUAAACACCUAAAAUCUUAGAACAACCAUAUACUAUCUCAAGCGGUUGCUUCCUCGUUUAACCUCUUUACGAGCCUUUUGUCACUCUAGCGUAAGAGGGCCUUUGAAAUAUCCCACAUUGGUGUCUCGAGUGAUUUGAUCGCUUCUUUCGUGGUGUACAAGUUUAUUUACUCUUCACUGAAUCACGUAUUAAAAUAUGUUUUAGCGUAAUCCUUGAAACAUUAUGAACUCCUUGGAUUCUCUAUUAAUGAGAACACAAUAUAUGUAGAAAUCGAUCUCACGCAACUAAUAAUCUACAUACUAUUUUUACUUACAAUUUAUGUAACUCAUAAUAUUUAUGUUAUUUUCAUAUGUUUAUCUUUCUCUACGCAAACAACACAACAAAUGUGGAAAUAUAUAUGGUCCAAUGGCUGACUGAUGAGAAUGACAAACAUUAUGAAUUUUUGCAGAUCAAGAGAGACAAACCCUUACUAGAGGUGCAAGGUAAAGUAUAAAAUGGUUAUUCAUAAAUAUGAUGCAAGUAAAAUCGUUUAUCGUAAAUCUCUGUAAUACAAGUAUAAUGGUACGCUGUUGUAGAAUUAUUUUAUUGUAUUUCUAAUUUACAAUUACUGUAAAAAAUUAGUUUUGCGUAAAUUAAUAAAUCAUCAUAAUAUGGUGGUAAAAAAUAAAAACUGAAAAGUUAUAUAAGGUUAUUAAAACUUUUAACAAAAAAAUAUAAGGUUAUCAAAAAACUGCAGAUUAACUGUAUAAUGUGAGCUGUGUUUUGAUAGAUAUACACUCCAUAUAAGAUAAGAAAAGAUUAUAGGGGUAGGGAACAAAAGGAAAGUUGGUAAAGGUGAAAAAGAAAUAAAAAAUACCAUAGAAGAAAGCUCGGUACAGAUAAAUAGAGAAAUAGACAAUCGAGGUCCAAAAAAAAAAAAAAAAAAAAAGAGAAAUAGACAAUCUACACACACUGAUUUUAAAUCUUCCUCCUCAUCCUCCUCGGUUUCCGGCGAGUGUUUAUCUUCUUCUCCGGCACAUCGACUCGUCUUUCCGAUCAGGUCUCAGCUUCGUUUCCGCACCUGUCCUAAAAACUUAAUGUUUAUCUUAUAUUUUAGCUUCCACAUUACUAUAGCAUGAAUUCACUUCGUAAUCUGAGAUCUUUUGUUUCUCUUUGGUCUCACCUCUAGCUCAAAAUCGAAGCUAUACUAUAGUAUAAUGAUUAUUAUAAUUUGUCUUUUUAGUUUCCUCGAUCUACUCCUUCGAUUUUACUCUCAAGACCAUUGAUAAUCCCAAUUGCUCUAUUGCAGAAUCCUUUCCCAGAAGAUUUGAGGGAUCUAAUUGUUGCAUCGACGAGUUGAUUGCUGUGAAGUAGAAACCCUAGAGGCCUCAGGAUUUUGCAUAAAUCGGCUGAUUGUAAUUUGAAACCGAGGAUGUGUAGGCAAAAUUGUCGCGCGAAAUCCUCACCGGAGGAGGUGAUUUCAGCUGAUGAGAAUCUCUUGAUAUAUUGUAAACCUGUUCAGCUUUACAACAUUCUUCACAUUCGCUCUCGAUCCAACGUAUGAUUUGCUUCUCUCUCUCUCUCUCUCUCUGUCUCUCAUCAGUUUUUGUUUUUAGCUCAAUCUCACAUGUGAGACAGUAGUUUGGGUUUUAGGUUUAGCUGAUUCUGGUCUGUGACUCACUCAUGGUGGCGAGUUUGUGCUUCUUUUGCCUCUUAUGUUUAUCUUCACUUUGUUCUUUGUUUAUGCAGCCAUCGUUUCUUCCAAGAAGCUUGAACUACAGAAUUCGAGCAAAGGGCCUAAGAAGGUAUGAGAUUUCUUCUUGGAUUGAAUAGUCACUAAAGUGAUUAUGGAAACAGAUUAUAUAUACAUUAUACCUAGGUUGAGUAGAUAUGUUGAGUAGAUAUGGACAUGUUGAGAGGUUUCUUCUCUGUUCAUGCUAAUGCUCUUAUAAUUCUCUAUUGUGUUUCGAUUAGGUCCAGAUCUGCUGGGAUGGUAGUUUUCAACUAUAGGGAUUGCGAUAACACAUCUCAGAAAACUGAAGGUGAGUUCUUUCUCUGUUCUUGGGCAUUUCGAUGUAUGUGUCUCUCUCUCUAUGUUUCUCUAGUUUACUUUUUAUUAUAAAAAAUUCUGUAUUGUCAUGCAGUUAUGGAGAAUUGUUCUUGUCCAUUUUGCGAUAUGCUAUGUGGUAGCUUCAAGGUGCGAAACUAUUACUACUGAGAUUUCUUCCGAGGCCUUCCAUAUUUGUGAAAUGGUGCUGCUGUUUCAUGUCGUAUACUUGCAUAUUUUGUGUUUCGUUGAUCUUCUCACUCUUUUUAACUGACGAGUGUGGUUAUCCGGGAAAACGUGUUCCACUUGAAGCUUACAAUCCAUUGUCUUGUGUCUGUGCAGGGGCUGCAACUUCAUUUAAAUUCAUUUCAUGACUUAUUUGAAUUUGAGUUCGUGGUAUGUGCUUUUUAAUGGAUUUCCUUGUUUUGCUAUGUCUUGUUGUUUUUAUAUGAAAUCAUAGUUAAUAAGGGUCUUUCCUAUUAUAGGUUUCAGAAGAAUACCAGACAGUUAAUGUCUCUGUAAAACUUGAUGCAUUCGGAUUUGAGGUCAGCUACGUUUAAUUUGGUAACUUAGUAAAACCUUCAGGUGGUCAACAUUUUAGUUGAUAUUCCUUCCUUCUUUAUUUCAGGUAGAAGGAAGUCAAGAAGAUAAGUUUGAACCGUUCUCUUUUUGGUAACUUAUCAAAAGCCAACUUUUCAAAACCCCUUAAAUAUCAGCAAAUUCUUUGCUUUUCUUUUCAGUACAUCUCCAUGAACCCAAACAAAAUGUCUUGCAGUUCGAAGCCUCGUCAGCGUACACAAAGAGGUGGUAGAAAAAGGCGACUUAAUGUACGCUUUUUACCAAUGGAUUCACCCAGUUUAGCUAAUGAGACAGAAAAUGGAAACGCACUGCUGAAUGAUGGUAAAAUCUCCUCUUCUCCUUUUGGCUUUGCGCUUCGAAUUUUGGGAGAAGAUAUAGUGUCUUGAUUAUUCGGUUAUUGUACUUCUCCUCUCAUUCUUUUCUCGAGGGAAAUAUUACCAUAACUGAUAUACAAAAUUAAUGGCAUGCUGCAGGAAACCGUGGUUUAGGAAAUCCUGAGUCAACUAAUCUCGCUGGACAAUUUGGGAUGACUAGCAACACUCCACCAGCCAUAGCUCAAUCUUCUCUGGACUCCGAUGGUAAAGCUAUGUUAACAAGCGAAGCUGUGGUGGCCCCUCCUGCUAAGACAAGAAAGUUAUCUGCUGAGCGCUCAGAGGCUAGAAGGUUUGUUCAUCAUGACAGUCAGUUUUAGUAGUUUACCAUUCCUGUUUUUACAACCUGUUCUUCCUAUUAUGAAUUGCUGUUUCCUUAACUGCCAUAUUAACCGGAAAUUUUUCUUUCAGCAACCUACUUCUCCAGAAACGCCAGUUCUAUCAUUCUCACGGAGGUCAGGUGAUUCAAGUUCCUUCACCGACUUAUUUUGCAUGUUAUUUGAAUUGCACCGUUAUCAUAUCCUACCAAAGUAGACUUGUUCCCAAUCCAAGUUACUCUUUCUCAUUAAUAGUUUGUAUCUAUAUCCACGCGAAUAAUGAGAUGUCCAUGUUACUGUUAUAUUGUCACUAACCAAAAACUGCAUGUUUUUGUGACAAAGCCAAUGUCACUUGAGCAAGUGAUGUCUGGUGGAGAUAGUGAAGAUGAAGUUGAUGAUGACGUUGCAGAUCUCGAAGAUCGCCAGGUAUUCCAUGAUUUCUUUCUGAAUUUCAUUUGAUAAACAACGAACAAUGGUGUAUAUGAUGUAGCUUGCUAAUGGCUUUUGAAACUUACAAAAAAGCUGCAGAUGCUUGAUGACUUUGUGGAUGUGAAUAAAGUCGAAAAGAGACUCAUGCACCUCUGGAACACAUUUGUAAGGAAGCAAAGGUAAUACACAUUAAUACACACAUAUGCACAGGUUUACGUGAGAUUCAUGGUAACGAUAUACUGUACAGUAGAAUUGCUUUUGCUAUAGAAUAGGUUAUCUAAUAAUAUAUAGAUGUUGAAUAGAUUGAUCGAUCCACCACUAUUGAUUUUUCUUAUGGAACAUUUUGCUCAAAUCAAAAUAUGAUUAUUUGUUGCAGGAUUCUCGCGGAUGGUCAUGUUCCUUGGGCUUGUGAAGCGUUUUCAAAGUUUCACAAGAGCGAAUUGCUCCAAUGCUUAUCACUCUGCUGGUAAAUCUCUCCAGAAUUAUAUAUGUAUUUAUAUAAUACACCAAGAACAUUUUGUAUACACAAUAACAACAACAUUUGUAUGUUGUUCAGGUGUUGGAGAACAUUUUUGGUCAAACUAUGGAACCAUGGACUUGUCGACGCGAACACCAUCAACAACUGCAAUCUCAUCCUCGAGACUUGCGAUAAUAACUCAGACAACACCAACAAUAACUCAGGCAACACCAACAACACCAACAACACCAACAACAAUGACUCAGACAACACCAACAAAAAUAACAGUGUGGAUCAUCGCGAGGAUAUGGAUGUUGACGACGGUGACAAAAACAGCAAAGACAAGUAAUAGGAAGAUCUCCGAUUCAAAACGACUCCGUUUAUCGAAUUGCAACUUCCAUCUUUUACCAAACAGAGAGAUAUUUAACCUUUUUAGUCUGCUAAUGAUUGCAAUUUUUACUUGGGAAAAUGUAUUCUGCUCAACUUUUAUCAGUUAGAACUUAGAAUGUUAUUCUUCUUGUUUUCUUCUCAUUAAUUCAUAUUUUCUUGUUUAUUCAUUUUAUUUCUCUCAAUGCACUAAUCCUUAGUAGAAAUUCUUAUUUGUGUAGUGAUUUGCUUAGAUGUCAGCUCCACAGCGAGUUUCAGAAUGUUUUGCUUACGUGUCAGCUUUAAAAAAAAAUUUGGCUAUAAAAACACUUACCUUAUUUUUCAAUUAUAUGGCAUUUUUAUUUAUUUUUUAUGAUGUAUUAAAAUAACUUAAAACAAAACGCUCUAAAUUAUUAUGGUUUAAUGUCAAUCAAACCGUUUCUAAAAAUUUUUAAAACCGAAAUUUUGUAAACUAAUGAAAAAAGUAAAAAAAAUAAUAAUAACGGUAUUUAUGAUGUUUAGAUUAGAGUUUUUGAUUUCAAAUCUUUUAGUAUAAAUAUAUACACGAUUUUUCUUUAAUAUUCUCACACCCUUUUAAAUUUUUAAACAUCUUCGUUUUUUGUUGAAUAAAUCCGUACAGUACUUCAGUACUUCAAAUCAUUAUAUUUUUGUUCUAUGAUUGUGAGUAUAUAUAUAGUUUGUAUCCUCGUUCAAAAACCGUAUCAGCCCAAUAGACAAAAAAAAUAUUUAUAGUCAGCAUCAUGUCUUCAAACAUUAAAAUGCAAAAAAACUAACAAGCAAAUAUACUCAAUAAUAAAGAACAGAAACUCAAUGAAUCCAAACUAUUAUUAAAUUUUAAACAAUCAAAUAAAAAAUUAUAUCAGUCUGCGCAAAACGCGAAAAUAUUCACUAAUUCAUUUUAUUUCUCUCAAUGCACUAAUCCCUCAUAGAAAUGCUAAUUAGUGAGAAGAUUUUUAAUUAAUUAGGGUUUACAGAUUAUAGGCAUUCAAAUUAAAUUAUAAGAAAGAAAAAAUUCUAAGGUCCAAUAAGUUCUCCGCUUCCCAUAAUUUUAGGGGAAAUUAGCGCGCGAAACAAAAGAAAUUCGAAAAGUAAAAUAAAUCUCUCAAAUUGCAGAAGCCUAAGUGGUAAGAGAGAGAGAGAGAGAGAGAGAGAGAGAGAGAGAGAGAGAGAGAGAGAGAGAGAGAGAGAGAGAGAGAGAGAGAGAGAGAGAGAGAGAGAGAGAGAGAGAGAGAGAGAGAGAAACACUGACUCUUUCUCAAUUGUACAUGUUAGACCUAUGAGGUCUCCUCAGACAACGAAGAAAUGGAAAAUAAUUCAUCAGUUGGAUUGUUCAAUGACUCAAAGAAAGAAGUGAAAAAAGAAUCAAGCUUCAAGCAGGAACCAGUAUUCUGUGAACCAAGGUGUAGCCCUGGAAUUUCCCGGUACAACCCAAAACUGCAAUUUCCUUUGAAGAACGAAGCUUCUUUACAUGAGCUGACACAGCAACAUAUCCAAGAAACCAUUUCCAUGAGCUCCAGUAGACAAAAGUCUCCAAAAAAGGCCGCUCAGAAGGCUUGUCUAGAUGAAAACCUGGAGUCAGUAGACCAAGAAUCAGAUGACAAGGAAAACCACUGAAACUGGAUUUGUGACGAUGAAAAGGGCGAGAUUCAGAGAAGCAAGAGACAGAUGUUCCAUGACUAAACCAAAUAGAGGAGUUCUAAUGGGGUGUUCGAGAGGUGAAGAGUUAAAGAACAUAGCUGGGGAGGAAGACAAAGAAGAAAGAAAGAAGAAGAGAAGAGUUUUGGGGGAGAUGUCGAAUCACCAGUUCUCUGGAGUCGUGGAGAUUCCAGGAAAAUGGCAUUGCCCUCAGAGAAAUAAAUGGAAAUCAGGUCCACUAUUGAAACAGCUCCGACUUGAUGCAUGGGUACAUAAAGUCUGAGUCUUUAAGAAGGCUUCACGUUUCAUCAACAAUGUAUCAUAUUAUAUCCCUCUCUUUUUGUAGUUUUCCAUAUUAUGCUCAAACUGGUAGAUAACACAAGAGUGGAUCAGACCAAAACUACUAAUUUUCUGUAUUGGCAUGUAGUUAUGGAGAAUUGUUCUUGUCCAUUUUGCGAUAUGCUAUGUGGUAGCUUCAAGGUCGGAAACUAUUCGGAGGCCUUCCAUAUUUAACACAUUUGUGAAAUGCUGCUGCUGUUUCUUGUCGUAUACUUGCAUAUUUUGUGUUAUGUUGAUCUUCUCGCUCUUUUUAAACUGCCGAGUGUGGUUAUCCGAGCAAAAGUGUUCCAAAUGGAGCUUAUAGUUAUAGUUAAUAAGGGUCUUUCCUAUUGUAGGUUUCAAAAGACUACCAGACAGUUAGGGCUUAGAAGAUGUUAUUGGGAGGUUGAUUUAUGAAGAUUUUAAGAAUCUAAAAUUCUAUGGUUAUUGGUUUGUGGAAUUUUACAUUCUUAAUAGAUUCCACUGUUAUUCAUUUACAGAUUAUAAAAAUCUAUUGUUAUUGAUUUGAUGAUUUUUAUAAACUAUCCAAAAUCCAUUGUUAUUCAAAAAGUUUACAUUUUAAUGAUUAUCUGAUUCUGUUAUAAUCUAUUGUUACUGAAUAAUGAUUCUUUACAAUUUAAUUCAUAAAUCAUGAUUCUUAAAAUACUAUUUAUAUCCUUUGGAUUCUCAAGGUCUUGUCAUAUUACAAAUAUUUUGUGGAUUGUUUAAAUCCAAACUCUCUCCAAAUUUUACAAAUCCAACAAAACUCUAAAAAAAUUGACAAAUUUCAUGACUUUUAAAAUCAACUAAGAGGGUGUUAUUGGUUCUAUAUGUUGAAAUCAACUCCAUUAGAAUGGAGUAGAUCAGAUUUUAAAUUUUUUUAAUUUAUUUAGAAUCUAUUAUAUAUGAGUUGUUUAAAAUUUUAAAUUACUUAGUAGUGUAUUUAGAAAGUCACAUGAUAUCAUUUAAAAUAUAAUAGAAUAGAAUUCUCAAUAAAUUUUAGAUUUAAAAAGAUCAAAGAAAAAAACAACCUAUAAAACACAUACGUAACAAAAAAACCAACAUAAAAAAUGCAACCUAAGAAAAAAAAAAAACACAUUCACUCUGUAUUGGUUUGAAUCCAUCCUAAUUUUCUUCCACUGACAUACUAACAAAAACGUCUUGUAUUCUCGAAUGGAGAAGGGAAAAAGAUAUGUGCGAGGAAAAAUAGAGAAAUGGACCAGGGAAAAGUCAAAAAUGGAGAGAAAAGAAAAAAUAGAGGGAAAAGAGAGUAACAUAAGGUUAAUAAUUUUAGAAUUAUAUUUUAGAAUUAUCAAAAUCUGAAGGUAAAAUGUUAGAUUUUGAUUGCUACAUUUAACACAUAAAAAUAGUUUAACUCUUUCACCUAAAAUCAGUUGUAAGAGUCGGUUAAACUUGAAUAACAUAAGAUUUUAACUGACUUAUUCAACUCUUUUAAUUGAAUAACAAUGGAUUUUCAAACUCUAUUAAUGGAGAGAUUAUAAAUACAUGAAUCAAAAUCUUUGAAUUUUUAUAAAGAAAUAAAAUCAAUGGAUUUAGACUUUAUUAAAAACCAUGAUUGAAUAAAAAUCUUUAUAAAUCUAACUCUCAAUAACCCCACAUUAAUGUCUCUAUGCAUUCGGAUUUGAGGUCACCUACGAUAAAUUUGGUAGCUUAGUAAAAUCUACAGCUGGUCAAUUUUAGUUGAUAUCCUUCCUUUUUGAUAUCAGGUAGAAGCAAGUCAACAAGAUAAGUUUGAACCGUUCUCUUUUUGGUAACUUAUCAAAAGCCAGACUUUUCACAACCCCUUAAAUAUCAGCAACUCCUUUGCUUUUCUCUUCAACUCAUCUCCUUUGCAUUUCUUUUCAAUUCAUCUCCUUUGCUUUUCUUUUCAACUCAUCUCCUUGAACCCAAACAUAAUGUCUUCCAGUUCCAACCCUCAUCAGCAUACACAAAGAGGUGGUAGAAAAAGGCGUCUUAAUGUACGCUUUUUACCGAUGGAUUCACCCAGUUUAGCUAAUGAGACAGAAAAUGGAAACGCACUGCUGAAUGAUGGUAAAUUCUCCUCUUCUCCUUUUGGCUUUGCGCUUCAAAAAUUUUAGGAGAAGAUAUACAGUGUCUGAAUUAUUCGGUUAUUUUAAUGGCAUGCUGCAGGAAACCGUGGUUUAGGAAAUCCUGAGUCAAGUAAUCUCGCUGGACAAUUUGGGAUGACUAGCAACACUCCACCAGCCAUUGCUCAAUCUUCUCUGGACUCUGAUGGUAAAGCUAUGUUAACAAGCGAAGCUGUGGUGGCCUCUCCUGCUAAGACAAGAAAGUUAUCUGCUGAGCGAUCAGAGGCUACAAGGUUUGUUCAUCAUGACACUCAGUUUACCAUUCCUGUUUAUAAAUCAAAAGCUGUUCUUCCUAUUAUGAAUUACUUAACUGCCAUAUUAACCGGGAACUUUUCUUCCAGCCACCAACUUCUCCAGAAACGCCAGUUCUAUCAUUCUCGCACAGGCCAGGUGAUUCAAGUUCCUUGGACGACUUAUUUUGCAUGUUAUUUGAAUUGCACGUUAUAAAAUACUAUCAAAGUAGACUUGGUCCCAAUUCCAUGUUACUCUUUCUCAUUAAUAGUUUGUAUUUAUGCUACUGUUUGUAUCCACGCGAAUAAUUUCGAUGUCCAUGUUGUCACUGUUAUAUUGCCACUAACCAAAAAAACUGUUGCAUGUUUUUGUGACAAAGCCAAUGUCACUUGAGCUGGCAAUGGCUGAAGAAGAUAGUGAAGAUGAAGUUGAUGAUGAGGUUGCAGAUCUCGAAGAUAGCCAGGUAUUCCAUGAUUUCAUUCUGAAUUUCAUUUAAUAAAUAAUGAACAAUGAUGUAUGAUGUAGCUUGCUAAUGGCUUUUGAAACAGAUGCUUGAUAAUUCUGCGGAUAACACUAAAGUGCAGAAAAGGUUCAUGUACAUUUGGAACACAUUUGUAAAGAAGCAAAGGUAAGACACUUUAAUACAAACAUAUGCACAGGUUUACGUGAGAGUCAUGCUAACUAUAUACAAUAGAAGAAUUGCUUUUGCUAUAGAAUAGGUUAUCUAAUAUAUAGAUAUUGAAUAGAUUGAUCGACGAUCCACCACUAAUGAUUUUGGUUAUGGAACUUUUGCUUAAAUCAAAAUAUGAUUUUUGUUAUGGAACAUUUUAUGCUCAAAUCAAAAUAUGAUUUUUUGUUGCAGGAUUCUCGCAGAUUGUCAUGUUCCUUGGGCUUGUGAAGCGUUUACAAAGUUUCACAAGAUCGAAUUGCUCCAAUGCACAUCACUCUGCUGGUAAAUCUCUCCAGAAUUAUAUAUGUAUUUAUAUAGUACACCAAGAACAUUUUGUAUACACAAUAACAACAACAUUUGUAUGUUGUUCAGGUGUUGGAGAACAUUUUUGGUUAGACUAUGGAACUAUGGACUUGUUGACGCGACCACCAUCAACAACUGCAAUACGUUCCUCGAGACCUGCAGAAAUAACUCACGCAACACCAAAAACAAGAACAGUGUGGAUCAUCGCGAGGAUAAGGAUGCUGACGUAAACAUUAAUAACGAUAUGGAGGUUGACGACGGUGACAAGAACAGCAAAGACAAGUAAUAGGAAGAUCUCCGAUUCAAAAACGACUCCGUUUCUCGGAUUGCAACUUCCAUCUUUUACCAAACAGAGAGAUAUUUAACCUUUUUAGCCUGCAACUGAUUGCAAAUUUUACUUGGGAAAAUGUAUUAUGGUCAACUUUUUAUCAGUUAAAACCUACAAAUAAAACUUUUUAUUAGUUAUAACUUAAAAUGUUAUUCUUCUUGUUUUUUUCCAAAUUAAAUUCGUCUUUCUUGUAUAUUCAUUUUAUUUAUCUCAAUGCACUAUUCCUUAAUAGAAAUGCUAGUUAGUGAGAAGAUCUUUAAUUAGACCAUUAAUGUUUGCAUGGUUUUUAGAUUUUGGUUUUUGGUUUUUGAUUUUUCUGUAAAUUUUAGGUUUUAAGAAACUGGAAUGGUGAAUUAUUUUAGUUUUUGGAUUAGAAGGAAAAAAUUUGCAAAAAAAAAUAAAAAUAAAAAAUCUCAGCAAUUAAUGGGAAAACCCCAUAUAUGUUCUAGGCCUUGAUUGUUUGCAGUUUUUGGAACAGAUUUUUAUUUUUAUUUUUUCAAAAACCAAUUUUUCAUCCAAUCAUGAUUUUGGUUAAAGGGAUUCCCUAAUUUUUAUAAAAACUAGAUUUUCUACUGAUUUACCAAUUCCUACAUAGAUAUUUUUUUUCAUUAAUUGCUGAGAUUUUUUAUUUUUCUUUUUGCAAAUUUUUUUCCUUCUAAGCCAAAAACCAAAAUUUAAAAAUAAUUCAAACAUUCAUGACCCUAGUUUUGAUUUUUUGAUUCUAGUUUCUACGUAGGAAUUGAAAAAACUAUGGAAAAUCUAGUUUUUCUAAAACUUAGGGAAUACUUUUGAUCAGAAUCAAAAACUUGGUUUUUUUAAAAAAAAAAACAAUUACCAAAAUCUGUUCCAAAAACUGCAAAGUAGGGUUUAGAUUAAGAUUAUAGGCAUUCAAAUUAUAAGGCCCAAUGCCGUAAGAAAAAAAAAAAUUAUAAGGUCCAAUAUUAUAUUUAGUUUUCCGCUUCGCAUAAUUUGAGGGAAAAUUAGCGCGCGAAACCAAAGAAAUUCGAAAAGUAAAAUAAACCUCUCAAAUUGCAGAAGCCUGAGGGGUAAAAGAAAGAUUGAGAGAGAGAGUGUGAGACGGAGUACAGAGCUCUAAUGGAGGAAUUUAUCUCGCUGGUACUUUUGUAUAACCUACUUUCUGAUUUUUGGUGAAUUUGUUGAGAUUUCGAGUUUAUAAUUUCUUUUUAUUAACUGAAAUCUCCGAUUAAUCUUUCUGGCAGGAACCUGGAUACUCCGAUUCGCCAUCUCCCAUUUCCGGUGAGUAAUUAAUUACUGGGGUUUAAUUAUCAUACGCCUUAAUUGCAAUUCUGACAUUUCUGGGUAUUGAUUUCCUACAGAACCACCAGAUAUUACGAACUGGUUUUCCAGUUAUGUCUAUGAAUCGUUCCAAUUGAGUUCUUCAGUAAAAGAAAGUGAAAGCGAACUAAAUCAGUUUUCUGUUGGAGAAGAACAAGAAAAUCUUGGCGUUGCUGUUCCCGAAAUCAGAUCUCCUGAGAAAUUUGUCUCGAACAAAGAUCAUAAGCCUAUGUACAAGAAGAUGAAACAGGUAGUAAUAUCUCACACAUUGCAGGUUUUAGGGUAUUCGAUUUUGUUAGAACGCUUUUAAUUCAUUUUACUUUUGGGCAGAUUUCAGAUACGACUCUCAAUGAAUCACUUCCUUCUGGUAAAUCCUCUUGUUAAACUUAUGGGGAAUAUGGAAAGUCUCUUAGCUGUUGAUGAGAUUAUGUUGUAACCUAAGCUUGUUUGCUUCUCAGAACCUCUUGAUAUACGUAAUUGGUUCUCGAGCUACGUCUAUGAAUCGCCGGUGCUGGAUACAAGUGAUGGUCUUGAAUAUUCGAUUCCUGGAGAGAGUGAACGUGUAAAGGAGACGCAAACAGAAGAAGAGGCAACAAAAAUUGAUGGAAACGAUGUUUGUCCUAGGUUAUCUGAGCAAGAACUUGCCUCUUUUGCAAAGGUCUUGCUAUUAAACUCCUGACUUUUUACUUUUUAUGCCAUAGUUACAUCAGCUGGUUUUCUAAUAUAAAUAAUAAAUCUGUGUUCUCUUAGCUCUUAUUGUUUCUCAAUCUGGCUGACGAAUUAGUCUGUUUGCAGGUUUCAGAUUUCUCUCAGUCGCAGUCUGUUCUUUCGGGUGAGUAAAGCCAGUUGUUUGUUACAUAUAAUGUUACUAUCUGUUUGCUUUGAUGAAAUGUGUUAUUAAUAAGUUGUCUCAGGAUUAUAGUUAAGUACGCCAGAAGUUGAAUCUUACUUGUUUUAUCAGAGCCUCCUGAUGUCAGAAACUGGUUUCCCAGCUAUGAGUAUCAAUCUCCUCAGCUUACAGAUACUCAUGAACUUGAAUUUCAUUCUUCUGGGAAAGACCAAUUAAUCAUUAACGAGAGUGACACAGAGGAAGAAACUAGCUGUGGUAUUUUCCGAAAAACUAUGAGCAAGCAAGAGAAUGUUUCUACUAGCAAGUUAAGUUCAGAUGACUGCAAGGAAAACAUAGCUGCAGACACGGUAGGUCAUGUUCUUGAACCUUCUAGACAAAGGGAAAUCAUUGUAGUUUAAAGAAAGAUGACUCUGGGGAUCACAACAAAUUAUAUUAAACCAGUUGUCAGUUAUUAUCGCACAGUUUAGUUUUGGCUUUUAAUUCUGUGUUCUCUCGCUGACUUUUUCUCAAUUGCACAGUUUAGUUUUGGCCUUUAAUUCUGUGAGCUCUCACUGACUCUUUCUCAAUUGUACAUGUUAGACCAAUGAGGUCUCCUCAGACAACCAAGAAAUGGAAAAGAAGUCAUCAGUUGGAUUAUUCAAUGACUCAACGAAAGAAGUGAAACAAGAAUCAAGCUUAGAGCAAGAACCAGUAUUCUGUGAACCAAGGUGUAGUCCUCGAAUUUCCCGGUACAACCCAGAGCCGCAAUUUCCCUUGAAGAACGAAGCUUCUUUACAUGAGCUGAGACUGCAACAUAUCCAAGAAACCAUUUCCAUGAGCUCUAGUAGACAAAAGUCUCCAAAAAAGACCGCUCAGAAGGCUUGUCUAGAUGAAAACUUGGAGUCAGUAGACCAAGAAUCAGAUGACAAGGAAAAUGCUGACAGGAAAAGCACUGAAACUGGAUUUGUGACGAUGAAAAGGGCGAGAUUCAGAGAAGCAAGAGACCGAUGUUCCAUGACUAAGCCAAAUAGAGGAGUUCUAAUGGGGUGUUCGAGAGGUGAAGAGUUAAAGAACAUAGCUGGGGAGGAAGACAAAGAAGAAAGAAAGAAGAAGAGAAGAGUUUUGGGGGAAAUGUCGAAUCACCAGUUCUCUGGAGCCGAGGAGAUUGCAGGAAAAUGGCAUUGCCCUCAGAGAAACAAAGGGAAAUCAGGUCCACCAUUGAAACAGCUCCGACUUGAUGCAUGGGUACAUAAAGUCUGAGUCUUUAAGAAGGCUUCAGGUUUCAUCAACAAUGUAUCGCAUUCUUUCCCUCUCUUUUUGUGUUUUUCCAUAUUAUGCUCAAACUGGUAGAUAACACAGACCGGAUCAGACCAAAACUAAUUCAUUUAGAUUCCUUUUAAAUACACUAUUUGAAACCCGAACCGAAACCCCCAAAAAAACCUGAAUCAGAUCCAAGAACAUUCGUAUUUGGAUAAGCAUUGACCAUUGAGUACUAAACAAAGAAAAGACAUAAAGCCUUCUUUUUUCAAAGGGAAGGUUUUUUUACCUAAACUGCUUGCACCGGGGCAAAAAACAAAAUACAACAGUUCAUAAAUUAUUUCUGGACCCGGAGAAGUUUUUCUUCAGACUCUGCAUUUUUUAGCUAAAAAAGGAAAAAGGUUUUUAAAAAUCAAAACUUUGGAGGGUUCACGGGUCAGAUACGGUGAAGAUGAGCUUCUUCAAGUAUCUCCGCCGAGACAGUUUGCUCCAAUUAGCCGGAUUACCAUCUCUCAGCCGAAACUGCAUGCAUCAGACCUGCCGGUCUCUCAUCAUUGAAACCGCUCCGCCUGAAUCUGUCAAGCUUAACCGUCUCUCUGGUUCCGAUUCUGGUAAUUUUACUUUUCAUUUUUUCCUUAUCGAAUUGGUGUGUUUUAUGGGUUCUAUUUGUUUCAGCUUAACUGUAAUGGCUUUUGCUGAGCAAUUUGAGUAGUUCCUUGUAUCUGUUAGGGUUCAUUAAUACCCUUUUUUCCUGGGUUGAUUGUGUUCGACUUCUCUCUGUUAUGCUGUUUGUUUCUCUAGCUAAACCGUUAGUCACCAGUUCUUAUUAUUUCUGGUAAUUUGAUCUCGUCCUGAAAAUAUUUGUUCAUUUAGUUUCUUAUUUGAAGUUUGAAUGUCUGAGCAUAGUUAUUGUCUGAUCAAUGUGUCGUUUCUCUAAUGUUCUGGUGACUUUUUGAGUUUACACCUAAUCAUUGCAGAAAUAGAAAUCACAUGAAGGAAAGAUGACAAAUGCACUAGUGUGUAUAUGUAUUACAGGGAUUAUCGAGGUCAAUCUAGACAGGCCUGUGGCCAAAAAUGCCAUUAAUAAGGAGAUGCUGAAAAGUCUCCAGAACACAUUUGAGACCAUACAUCAGGAUAGUUCCGCUAGGGUUGUGAUGAUCAGAAGUCUGGUUCCAGGAGUUUUCUGUGCAGGUGCAGAUCUGAAGGUAGUUUUCCCACUGUAAUUUCUUCUGGAAUGUUGGCAUUCAAUAUGCUAGCCAUGUUUGAAAAUCUCUGUUUUUCUUUAUUUGUUGUGAUGUCAGGAACGUAGAACUAUGAGUCCAUCUGAGGUUCACACAUAUGUCAACUCGUUGCGCUACAUGUUCUCGUUCAUUGAGGUACUAUGCUCAUAUAUCCUUGUUGGUUCUCAUAGAUUAGAUUAGCUGCUACCCUCAUUCGUGAAAAGAUUGUUCGGUAAAGUUAAUUGUCAAUUUAAGUAUGUUUGGCAUUAAUCUAUACAAAGUUUCUCAUCAAAUCGUUAGGAAGAACUUCUACAUUUGUAGACUUAGCUUUACUUUCUCAGGAUUCGGAAUUUAAUUGUCUUUAAUAUUACAAAACAGAAGAGAUAUGGAUAGUGCUUUUUUAGGGAUAUAUGAAAAUUAUUUGAAGUACUUGUUUAAUUAUUCUCCGCCCGAGCUUCAUGUAUUCUUUUAUUUCCAUGUAAAAGCUUUAGGAUUUGAGUCUUCAUGAGAUUGGCAUAUGCUAUAGUGACUUUGAAGACUUUUGUUUUCUAGGCACUGAGUAUCCCUACUAUUGCUACAAUAGAAGGUGCAGCACUGGGAGGUGGACUUGAAAUGGCUCUAUCCUGUGAUCUUCGAAUCUGUGGUAAUUUUUUCAUAUCUUGUUAAUUUUUUUUAAUUGUAAUCUACAUGCCAAGAUGAGAAAUUAUUGUAAUACUCCGAAUUUUUUUCAGGCGAAAAUGCAGUAUUUGGCUUGCCUGAAACAGGGCUCGCUAUAAUCCCUGGGUACAGAAUAAGCUUCAUUACUCUUGAUAAAAAGAUUCUCUUAUCAUCACCCUUUCUAUUAGUGUUGUGAUGAUUUCUUUCUCUUGGCUAUUAAAGGGCUGGUGGGACACAGAGGCUCUCGAGGCUGGUUGGGAGAUCGGUAUCAAAGGAACUCAUAUUCACAGGUCGAAAGAUUGAUGCAAGAGAAGCUGCACACACAGGUCUUUGACUAUUAAAGUUGCAUUUCUCAUAAUGAUUCGUGAUCUUGUUUUUUGAUAUAUACUUAGAUAAAAGAUGAUUCAUAUGCUCUCUUUUGUGUGUGUGUGUGUGUGUGUGUGUGUGUGUGUGUGUGUGUAUGUUGCAGGGCUUGUGAACUUUUGUGUUACGGAGGGUGAGGCUCAUAAGAAAGCAAUUGAAAUUGCUCAGCAGAUAAAUGAAAAAGGUCCAAUGGCUAUAAAAAUGGCGAAGAAAGCGAUUGAUGAAGGAAUAGAGACGAAUAUGGCUUCAGGUUUGGAGGUAGAAGAGAUGUGUUAUCAGAAGCUUCUUAAUACCGAAGAUCGUCUUGAAGGAUUAGCUGCUUUUGCUGAGAAGCGUAAGCCUUUUUACACUGGCAAGUAAAAGAUCUUUAUCUAUUUAAUUUCAAAAAACCGGGGGAGAUUACCAUUGAAUUGGAUGUUAAUAACCGGGGAUAGUUUCGGAUCACAUAAUGUGUAUGACACAGAAAAGAAGGAAAUAAAUAUCACUGUUAGUGUUCGUGCAUUCAUGGACUUGAUAAUUGGUUAUACUUUUUGCAUAUAUUUUAAGCUAAUGGAACGUUUACUUGAACUUUGUUUCAUAAGUUUUAAUUACCCAUACGUCAUCUGAUCUCUAGUAGUUGCAGAAAUGUUAUUUGCAGUGUUAAUAUAUCUAAUAACUUUGCUAAGCAACGUUGUGCAUAAAAGUAUUAUACACACUAUUUCCUUGAAAGAUUUGAAAGUCUAAAAGUAAAAAUGGGAAAAAAUGGUUUGGAGUCAGUAAAAGUAGCCGACCAGUGAUCCACCGACCCAUCAAAGUGGUGCCAAAAUGAUGUGUUGAUGAUUAGACUCUUUUUCCAAUUUGACGUGUCAAAGUUAUCUCAGUGAUUCUUGACUAAAUCAUAAACACUGAAUUUGCAUGAAAAAACUAAUGUUUCUAUUUAUCAAAACAAAAUUAUUAAGAACCAUUAUAUUUUAGUGAUUAAAUCAACAAUGCAAAGAUUAUGGACACUCGUAACUCUAAGCGAUAGGAAUUUAUUUAUGGAAUAGUGUAGCACUUAUAAAUAACUGUUAACCUAAAAUCAAUAAAUAGCUGAGGUUUAAAAUCAGUGAAGACUAAAUUAUAAUGAAUUCAAAAACAAUAAACUUCAACAACAUAAGAAUAGGAUAAAUUCGGUUCUUGUUAUUCCUUUUAUGGAUUUUAAAGUUCAUUAUAUUCAAAAGGUAUAGAUGCUUUGUGGACAAGUUCGGUCUUGAUGAAAGAAAAAGAAUCGUUACUAGUAUUUAUUAGUCUUCUCAGGUCCGGUGAACAAAAUCAAAUGUGUUAGAUCUAGUACUUAAGUGUCUUAUUUUUUUAAAAACAUUGAUUUUGUUAGUAAUAGUUGUUUACUUUAAUGUUUUAAGACAGCUGCUACGUAAGAAGAAAGCUUUAGCGUAACCAGACCAAAAGAAGGGAAUCCAGAUUCUUCCGGGGUCAUAUGCCUACGCGACCUCUGCGAUAUUCUUUAAAUGAUCAAUUAAUUACCCCUUAAUUAUUCUACACUUAACACUUAACAAGUUUUAUAAUCUGCUCCCUUUUCUGCAUUACCCGACCAAGAUUAUCGGGUUCAUAAUUUUUGGCCUUGUUACGAAAUUGUAUUUUCGAAAUGACUGUGUUUUCAUUUUAACCAAGUCGAUAACUUUCAAGUGGGGAUUCUUGGGUUCGAAUCGCUUUGGCCACCUAACCGCAUUUUAAAUUUGGAAUAUUUUCGAACGCGUACUUGGAUGCAAGGCCUCAUACUCGGAUGCAAGGCCUCGUGAAAUUAGUCUUUGAGCCUAGAAAACCUUUGAAAUCCCAUUAUUAAAUUAAAAAAAAAAAUGACUGUGUUUUCAUACUUACGCUUAACAUUAUAGCAAAAAAACAAGAAAAAGAAUUUUAACUGAUAUAUCAGAUACUCUACUUUGCCCUAUAUACUAUAUGGAAAAUUUCUAAGUAAAUUUUGUUUUUUUUUUUUUAAGUGAAUUUAUACUUUCUAUGUCUAUCCGUCUCAUAGAUACUACACACUUUUCAACCCAAAUAUGAGUUUUAUUUAGAUUUUAAACUUCUUAUAACUAAGUAAUAUAAGUUUUAGUCUGAUUUGAAAUGAUAUAAUUCAUUAUUUGAUAAAAUUACUAAUAUGUUAUUUAAAAAAUACUCUGUUUUUAUUUGUUCCAUUAUAUUAAGUAAAGCAAUUUCUAUGGACUUUUGUGUUAAGACCAAACGAAUCUAAAUGGUAUAUAUUUUUUUUAAAGUAUCUUAAAUUUCGUCUAAUUUUUAAAAAUAGUUAUAUUUUCCAUUUUUUAAUUUUUGUAUUCAUACAUUAUGUCCAAAAUAUAUUGAAUUCCGAUAAUAAUAAUAUAACAGUAAUAUAAACACCACAAAACUACAAAUUUUCAAUGUAACAUUUGGAUCUUAAAACCGUAUCAAUUUUUAAUAGGGAUAGCGAUUCUCCAAUCGCUGUCAAUCUUCAUAAAUAACGUUAGAAUUAGGUGAUUAACUGUACUAUGUAUGAAAUAAAUAUUAAUUAUAAUUUUUUUAUUCGAAUAUAUAAAUAUAAUGUAUAUAAAUACAACUAUAGAAAUAUUAGCUGAUAUUAAAUGUCGUUUAAAUUUUAAAAAUAGUUAUACCAUCCUUUUUUUAAUUUUUGUAUUCAUACACUACAUCCAAAAAUUGAAUUCCAAUAAUGAUAUUAUAACGGCACAUAUAAACACCACAAAACUACAAACUUUCAAUGUAACAUUUGGAUCUUAAAACUAUAUCAGUUUCAAGUAGUGAUAGUGAUUCUCCAAUCGCUGUCAAUCUUCAAAAAUAACGUUAGAAUAGUAUUAGAAACCAAAACUAUUGGGAGUGAAUUCACACAUCAACUUGGAUUUCAGAUUUUGUUCUCUUCAAUCUCUUUUUUUUUCUUCUUACAUUUUCAAAAAAUAACAAAAGAAAGAAAAAAAAAAAAAAAGCAGAACUUAACCUCUAAGUCUUAGCAUUUCCACUAUUAACUUCUUCCAAAUCCUCUUUCAUCACCAAACUAAAAGAACCUUUACGACACUCACUUUCUCUCUGAUGGUGGAAGCAAGAAGCUCCAAGAAAACCCAAUUGGGUAAUAAAGAAGAUCAUAACCCUAGAAAAUUCUACUCUCGAUUCCUCUUCAAAGCUCUACUCCUCGCCGUUUUUUGCGCCAUCGUACCGAUCUUCCUUUCUCAGACGCCGGAGCUCGCUAACCAAACCGGACUCCUCGAGCUUCUCCACCUGAUUUUCGUCGGCAUCGCCGUCUCUUACGGCCUCUUCAGCAGCCGGAACUAUGACGGAGGAGGAGGAGACGGAUCAAGCAAUAACGAUCACAAAGCUGAUCAUAAUAAUACUAACUCGCAUUCCUAUGUGCCUAAGAUUCUUGAAGUAUCCUCUGUUUUCAACGUUGAUCAAGAGAGUGAAUCUGAGCCGUCCGAUGAUUCCUCCGGCGACCACCGUAAGUUUCAGACAUGGAGGAACAAGUACCACAUGAAAACCCCCGAUGUUGUUCUUUCCAAAGAUCACGAGACUCGUUUCGUCGAUCGAGUUAGUUCUGAAAUCAGAGAAAAGCCUCUGCUUUUGCCUGUUCGCAGCUUGAAUUAUUCGCGGGUUUCUGAUUCCGGCGAUCACUCCGGUCGAUGGGAGAAAGUGAGAUCAAAGAGACAACUCCUCAAGAGUCUCGUUGAUGAUAACAGUGAUGUGCUUCCUUCACCGAUUCCAUGGAGGUCAAGAUCAUCUUCAUCAUCAUCAUCUUCAAAAGAGAUCGAAUCUCAGCCGUCGGUUAAGAAGCUGGGUACAGUUGAAUCACAGCCGUUGAUCAAGACUCAGGCGAAUCUGACACCAUCUUCCUCUUUCUCUUCUUCACCGAGAAAGUCGACGCCUUUACCUAAGCCCACAUCAGAGUCUGGAGCGAAAUCGGCGGAAAUCGUGAAAAGGCAGGAAUUUCUCGAAUCACCGUCACCUCCUCCUCCACCGCCGCCUCCGCCGUUACCGGCGUUUUAUAACUCGGCGUCGAGAAAGGAUUAUCCUCACGGAAUUUACAGGACUGGAUCAAGAGAAUCAGCUCACAAGACGAAAUUUACAGGCGGUGAGUUUCAUCCUCCGCCGCCUCCGCCGCCACCACCUCCGGUGGACUAUUACAAGUCGCCUCCGACAAAAGUCAGAGUAAGCAGCAGCGAACGGAGAAAAUCGUCGGAGCAAAAGAUGAAAUUGGAUGACUAUUCAGAAAAAAGAAACUCUCCUAAAAAGGUUUGGUGGUCUGAUCCAAUCGUGGAAUCGAAGGAACAUAGAAUUAUCAGACAAGACACGGAGAAGAACGAUCGAAGAAGUUUCUUGGGAAGCAAGGCGAUUGAGGAAUCGGAGGAUGAAGAACAUAAAAGAGAAGAAAACGAAACCCACGACGAUGAUGAGAAGAAGAAGAUAGAAGAGGAAGAAGAAGUUAGUGGGAACAACAGUGACGUGGACAAGAAGGCUGAUGAGUUCAUUGCCAAGUUCAGAGAACAGAUUAGGUUACAAAGAAUCGAAUCCAUCAAGAGAUCUGCUAAUAAGAACUCUGUCAAUUCUUCGAGGUAGAACGUACGUAUUUAUAAAUAUUUAAGAACGUAAAGAGUAGAAAACAUUUUCAAUUUACUCUGGUUAUCAUCAUAAGAUUGUAAUUUUAAGGGGAAGAAGACAUAUUUUUGUUAUCUUUGUUCUUCAGACAGAACAAAAUAGGAACUUGGAACUCAGAUUGAUUACCUCUCUUUCUUGUUUCUGGAUUUUCGCAUGAAAGACUUUUUAGUGUCAUAAUAACAUUUAGUGUUGGGCUAAGUGGGUGGAUAAGAAGUGGCCCAAAUGGCAUAUAUUCAGCCCAUACUCAUGUAAAGGACAACAAGGGACUGUAUGACAGUAUGAGUAUGACCAUAUAUGGUAAUCUCCUCGUCAGUUGUAAGUUGAAAACAUACAAACACACCAGCAGAUUUGGGCCCAUACAUGUAUUUUGAUUAAUUCAACUAGUCGUUGUUAGUUGGGUGAAAGUAAGCGCCUUUGAUUAAUUCUUGUUUGUUUGGGUGAAACUGAGAUGAAUAUUAUCAGGCCCCAAGCUAUACUAGUUCAAAACCUCAAACACAAGAUUAUUUUUAGUUAGAUCCUUUUUUAACUAAAGUUGCAUUCAUUGUAAAAACAGUUUUUUUUUUGGGUUCGAAAAUACUUUUAUAUUCAAUUCAAAAAAAAAAAAUAUAUAUAUAUAUAUAUAUAUAUAUUAUCAGAUCCCAAAACUCUUGAUUUAACCAAUAACUAGAUUUUACCCCGUGCAUCCGCACGAAAUUUUUUUUAGUCAAAAAUUGUAACAUAAUUUAUGUUUUCUUUAUAGAUUUAUUUUUUCUAAUAAGUGACAGAAAUUUACUUUUGCAUUUAAUUAUAAUUUUUUUUAAUUUUUUUUAGUAUUAUUAUGAUCACUAUCAUAAAAUCAUAAUUCUAACCCGAUCAUUUUAUUAACUGAAAAAUAACUAUUAUUAUAAAAAUAUAUUUCUAAGUCGUUCAUUUAUUAAUCCGAAAAGAAUCAUGGUUAAAAGACCAUAAUUCUAACCCACCUGUUUAUAUUACUAUAUAAUAUAAAUAUUUACUAAUUUUAAAAUAAUUUUUAUCUUAAUAUUCUGCAUGUUUUGAUAACAUAAUCCGUAUAAGAGCACAAUUAUAAAAAAUACAUAACUCAUCCCAUCAAAUUACUAUAUAAUAUUAAUAUUUAUCAUUUUUCAAUGCGUGAAAUUUUAGUUUGAUUGAAUAUGAUUGGACAAAAAUAAUUUGUUAAUCAUAUAUGUGUUAUUUUGAAAUUAUUUAAAUUUUAAAUGUUAAAUCAAAUCUAACAUAUAUUAAAAAAAUUAUAGAGUAAUUUUAAUUAAUAUCUAUUUUUCAAAAAAUAAAUAGUUUAAAAUUUAAAGCAAAUAUGAUGUAUAUUUAAAGAAAUCUUUAGAUAUAUAAACUAAUAUCAAUUUUUCAGAAUAAAAUUUAUAUAUAAAAAUAUGUUUUUAAAAUAAUAUUGCAAUAAAAUAAGAUAAUCUUAAAACAGUUUCUAAACAAUUUUUUUUAAAAAAAAAACUUUGAGAGUGUUUGGAUGCAAGCACUAAAAGUGCUUCUGUUUUAAUAGAAUAUCUUUUCAUAGUAAAUACUUGAACGCUUAAAUUUAAAGGAAAAAAAAAAGAGUAAAUGUGUUAAUCAGACCCCAAGAUCAAAUACAUAAAAAUGUUUGUUAUGCACUGACCAAAGAAAUUGUUAUUCACCAAGACUAGAAUCGGCUCCUUUAACCCGUGGAGCCAUCGGGUUUGCAUUGGCCAAGAAAUACUUGGAUAAGAUAGACAUGGUAACAAGUAAAGAGCUGAAGUUAAGUUGUCGAGACACCGUAGAAAGAAAGUAGUGGUUCCAAAUAGAAGAAAUCGCGGAUGCGUCAGAAUAUACAAUAAAACUUCUAUAAAUUAAUAAUGUCGGGACCACGAUAUUUUAUUAAUUUAUCGUAAUAAUAAUUUAUCUAUAAAUUAAUAAAUUAUUAAUUUAUAGAGGAAAAUUAUUCUUCGUCCAUUUUUUUCUUAAAUUUUCUUUCAUUGGUGCUAUAUUUAAGAAUCUAAACCCAUAUGCUUAUAAAAUAAUAUGCACAAACUUAAAAUUAUGAUUAAUAAUCAUAGCAAUCGCAAUAGAAUAGUUAUUUCUAUUUGUUAAUUGUGAACUGGAUUAUCUAUGUAAGAAUAUAAAUGUUCAUUAGUACAAAAUUUAUAAAACAUUAUGGCUACUAUCCUUAACGUUGGUGCUGAAACUGAAGACAAUACCUAAUAUAUUUCAAAACAGUUACGCUAAAAAAAUCAAUAUCACAUCUAAAGUUUUAAAAAAUAACAUUAUAUAAAAGAUAUUGAUGUAAACAAGUAAAGAGAUGAUUUUCAAUAAAAUAUCAAAUUUAAAUAAAUUCAAAUAACAUAUUAAUCAUAUUUUAGUAUAUAUUAUCUUACCUAUAUAUACAUAAAUUUAUAUAAUUAUUAAUUUAUAUUUUUGUUGGGACCAUAUUUUUACAAAGGGGUUUCUAAUAAAAUUAUUAUCUUAUUAUCUUAUCGAAUUUGACGGAUUUUUACACUAGUCCCGACUCGGGACCAGAGAAAUUUAUUAAUUUAUAGUGAUUAUUAAUUUAUCGAGUAUUAAUUUAUAAAAGUUCAACUGUAUUAAGUUACAAAUUAGCAGUAUGCACAUUGCAUACAGAUGUUUUUUUUUGUCGUCCAAUGAUAACAUAUAGAUAUAUAUAUAUAUAUAAACCUGUUUUAGAAAGGCCAUAUAACUUUACAUAGAGCAGAAACAUUGUUGAUAAUGAGGUAAGUCGGUGAAAAAUUCAAGAACUUGAUUUAAGUUUAGAACUAUAUGGAGAUAAACUUUCACUACACACUUAAUGCUACCACCUAGCCGAUCAACCAUCUCGUGGGCCUCUUGGCCAUGGAAAGUCGAUCUUGAAUAGACCAACAAAGAUCUUCUCAUUUUAACUAUUAACAACAACAACAAUUGCUGAAUAUAUUAGAAAUUUCAACUAUUUUAACUUACUAUUUAAUAUUUUUAACAUUAUCGCUUAUGCCAAGUGAAAUGAUAUAAGACCAUUAUAUUUUGUUUAAAACGUACUUGUCUGUUUGUCACUAGACACUAAUCUAUUCUAUUCAACAAAUCUUAUUUUUGAUAUUCAACAAAAACAUUUAAUUCUGAUAGUUGUCGAAAAUAAAUAUGGGACAAUAAAUAUUGCAGCAAAAAAAACUAUGGAAACUCUUUCAAGCAAUAAAUGUAUAUCGGAUAAUUGGCUGUCAACAUUUGUUGUUACUUGUUAGCAUGAACACGAUGGUUUUAAGGGAGAAAAAUAAUCUGUUUUUUCUUUUUUUCUUUCUAAAAAUAGUACAUACAUGUUAACAACUACAUGCAUAUCUUGGUCCCCCUGAAAACGAGUAAAAAUGACCGAAAUGCCCUUUAGUUGCAAAACUAAAAAGACUAAGACCGAGGACGAAGAGCGUCAAACGUCAAGCCGUGAGAAAUCCUCGUAGCAGGAGCCCACGCAUUGACCUGCAAUGACCGGUGGUGGUGUGCUGACGUGGCAGCCUGAGAUGAUGGUGGUGGUGGUGGUGGUGGGACCGACACGUGUUCACACGAAGGGCACAUGGUCAAAGUGGUGGGUGGGUUCAUGUGCAUGUAGAACUGAGGAGAGAGCUUAAGCGAUCUUAACUCCGUUACUUCUUUCUGUAGCCGACGAUUCUCUUCCGUUAGAUUCUCGCAGCAUCGCCGUAAGAACUCGCAGUCAACCUCCGUUUGCUUCAGCUUUGUCCUGUUGAAAAUUACCAAUAUACCCUUAUAAGUAAUUAGGGGCAAAUCAGGGAAAUAAAAGAGAUCUGAGUGUGUGUGCGUGUGUUUUCUUUUUUCUUACCUUGCUCUUCUGUUCUGAAACCAAACUUCCACUUGUCUUGCUCUUAAUCCUAAUUGCUUAGCCAACGCUUGCUUCUGUUUCUGUUAAAAACAAAAAUUAAAUUGACCUUGAUUCAGUUAAAAAUUUUGUAAACGCAAAUUUACAAACUAAAUAUUAAUAGCUGCAUUAAUUGACUCACCAAAAAGUCAAAAACUAAUGUACUAACAGUCAUGUUAAUUGCGAAUAUUCACUAUGAGCGUUUUUUUUCCGAUUCCAGAAACCACUAUUCCAUGGCCAAUAUUUUCCCGGGAAAACCAAAAUUUUCUCCAGGUGAGAAAAUAGGUAAAAGAAAAAAAAUUUACCGGAUUGAGAGUACUGUGAUCUUUGAAGGUCUCUUCGAGAAUAGCAGAUUGAUCUUUGGAGAGUCUAAGCUUCUUCCUCGAAUUAUCACCGUCUUCAUCGUCACUGAUCCCCCUUGAUCCUUGCGGAUCUGUAUCCUCUUCUCUCUCACUCCUUUUUCCGGUGGAGCUUGAGACUGUGCUGUUAGGAGAAGAUACUCCGGCGUCUUCAUCUCCGUAUUCCGCCGUUGACGGUGGUCUGUUCACGUCGAUUCCACGGAUGAAUGUUCUUGUUUCUACACGACUUGAAUCUGAGUUGGGUACUGCAUGCAUAAGAUUGAAAGUAUAAAAAAGGUGAGGUUUUGAUUGGUUUUCCGGGAAAAUGGUUUUUUUUUUCCCUCAUAGGAAAGUGAAAACAGAGAAACUCAUAAAGCUAUGGUGUACCUGAAGAAUUAAAACUCUCGUUCAAAGAUGAUCUUCGGAGUAAUCCAAAAGAGGAAGAAGAUGGAGUAAGAGAAACAGAGGGAUUGGAUUUGAGAUUCAUCUGUUUCUUGGGAAAAUUUAAGCCGAGGCUCAGACCCAGAUCAUCUUUCUCCAACAUCAUCUUCGUUUUGCAGCAAAGUUUUCUGCUUUUCUUUUGAGAGAGAAAGAGAGGGAGAGAGAGAGAGGAGAGAUGAUGAAUGGCAAACAAGGAAGAAGACUGGUUAAUAUAGAGAGGUAGAGAGAGAGAGAU